rnacentral:lncRNA from 1 species
UUUUUUUCUAGUGAAUAAUAAGUUGUUAUCCAACAUUUCUGGCUGCAAAUAUGACUCAAUUGUUGUUUUGGAUCGUGCCUCCAUUUCCAUGAAUGUUUAUUUUCAGAAGUUUGUUAACCCUUGUGUCACCUUGUGGCUUUUUUAUCCAGUAGGGUGCAAAAUACUCUCUUUUUUUUGACCAAAAUACUCGCUAUUUUUUAGAGAGUGAAAUCAUUUUUGGUAAAGAAGUUUAAUUUGACGUAAUUUGAAGUUUAAUUUUGACGUAUUUUUAAUUUUCUCUGGCUGUUUUGGGUCACUUACUUUAGCUGCUAUAAAAACAUACCAGACAAUUUUUUUUUUUUGCUCAAAUCUAUUCGUCAAGCUCAGUCCUUAUCAUAACAUUUUUUAUUAUUAUUUCAUUAUGAAUUUUAACCCUUGAAUGCCAAAUUAAGAGGUGAUGUCACUGAUUUGGUGGAAAGAGAAAAAAUCACACAAAAUGACAGAAUUUCAAUAUAAAAAGUAAUCAGAGGCUGAAGAUUUUUUACAUGCUAUCACACCCUUGGGUAUGUCAAAUAUAACAAAAUUAACUUUGAUGCAUUUUUAUUUUUUGCACAGCAUCGGGUUUAAGUUCAUCAUAACCGCACAGCUUUUCCAUCCGCCCGUUUGCGCUCAUGUUUUCAGAAAGGAGGGGAAAGCAAGAGUGGGAGAGAAUUAAAUUUUUUCAUGUCCGGUAUGUAGGCCUGUCGCGAUAAUCAAUAAAUCGCCUUAUCGCUCGAUAAAUAAAAACGAGGUCGGUCAUUUUGCCAGCCUCGAUAAUUGACGUGCGUUUGUUUUCCUCCUCUCUCGCUACCAAACACGCUGGAUGAGAGAAGAGGUCUCACUCUGCGCAUUGUUCUCGGCACCUGGGGGCGUUGGCUCUAUAGCGGAAUGAACGGAGUUAGUGAACCCUCCUGUCAGUCAUUCAGUAUCUUUGUCACGAGGGGGCUGGCGCGCACAGGCACACAGACACAGACUUUUUGGAUACAGUGCUGCAAGUGAGCAUUGUGAGUGAAAAGCAAGCUAACAGAAUGAACACGACAGCUUUGGUGUCUAAACCGAACGCAACAGCCCAAGUGUGGGAAUAUUUCGGCUUUAAACCAGUUUUGUUUUCGUCAACCACAAAACUCCACGUGUGUGUGUGCGCGUGCGUGUCUGUGUGUUGGAGGAGCACAGCAGGCUGAUGAGAGCUGUCAGAGCGGACUGAAGCUGCUCCUAUAUGUUUAGCGUUUAACUGACUGAGUUUUGCAACUCUGUUCGUCAUUUUCGUCUCGUCUCAUCAACGUAAACGCACUUUCGUCUCGUCACAUUUUAGUCAUCUCCGACUUAUGUUUAGCUCGUCAACGUUACGUCUUCGUCGUGGGAGAAAAGGGAAAUAUUUUAGUCAACGAAAACAACCAGUGUUGUUCUCGUGUGGAAAUUAAAGUUUAUCCCUUUUGACAUGGUGUACUCGCAUUAUUAUGCCAUAUAAUAUCAUUAUCUAUAAUUUAAAAAAUGGUGUCAAUAAUAUCGUUUAUCGGCGAUAAUUUGUAGCACAAUUAUCGUCCAGCAAAAUUUGUUAUCGUGACAGGCCUACCGGUAUGCAUAUUAUUGUUAGAAAACCACCCCAAAAGUGGAUCUUUCAUAAUAGGGGACCUUUAAAACUAUUUGGGAGACAGAUCUGGGAGAGGUGAUUCAUAAAAGUGGAAAAGUAUCAGUCCCAACUCUAAGGCCAUACUUCUCCUUUCCCAUGCUCAUUAAAAAGAAACAGAUAUGAUUCUGCAAGCAUUCACACCAAGUGAUUUUCAGUAAAUGAUGAUUAAAAUACUUAGAUUAUGAUAAAAUACACGUGAUAGCAUACACAUACAAUUUUUCUUACAGCAACGAUUUGCAAAUCAUUUCCAACCUACAUUCAAUUGAAUACAGAAUCUGAUGGCAGCAACACGUGACAAAGAAGUCGGGACAGGUGAGAAAUUUGAGGAAUGCUCAUCAAACACCUAUUUGGACCAUCCCACAGGUGAGCAGGCUAAUAGGGAACAGGUGGGUGCCAUGAUUGGGUAUAAAAGCAGCUUCGCCAAAAAUUCUCAGUCAUUCACAAGCAAGGAUGGGGCGAGGUUCACCACUUUGUGAACAACUGCGUGAGCAAAUAGUCGAACAGUUUAAGAACAACGUUUCUCAAAGUACAAUUGUAAAGAAUUUAGAGAUUUCAACUACAGUCCAUAAUAUCAUCAAAAGGUUCAGAGAAUCUGGAGAAAUCACUGCACAUAAGCGACACGGCCGGAAACCAACUUUGAAUGCCCGUGACCUUCGACCCCUCAGGUGGAACUGUAUCAAAAACUGACAUCAUUGUGUAAAGGAUAUGAUCACAUGGACUCAGGAACACUUCAGAAAACCACUGUCAGUAAAUACAGUUCGUCGAUACAUCUGUAAGUUAAAACUCAACUAAGCAAAGAGAAAGCCAUUGAUCAACAACAUCCAGAAACGCUGCCGGCUUCUCUGGGCCCGAGCUCAUCGAAGAUGGACUGAUGCAAAGUGUAAAAGUGUUCUGUGGUCUGACGAGUCCACAUUUCAGAUUGUUUUUGGAAACAGUGGACGUCGUGUCAUUCGGGCCAAAGCAGAAAAGAACCAUCCGGACUGUUGUAGACGCAAAGUUCAAAAGCCAGCGUCUGUGAUGGUAUGGGGGUGCAUUAGUGCCCAAGGCCUGGGUAACUUACACAUCUCUGAAAGCAACAUUCAUGCUGAAAGGUACACACAGGUUUUAGAGCAACAUAUGCUGCCAUCCAAGCAGCGUCUUUUUCAUGGACAGCCUUCCUGCUUACUUCAGCGAGACAACGCCACGCCACAUUCUGCACGUGUUACAACGGAGUGACUUCGUAGUUAAAGAGUGCGGGUACUCGACUGGCCUGCCUGCAGUCCAGACCUGUUUCCCAUUGAAAAUGUGUGGAGCAUUAUGAAGCGUAAAAUAGGACAACAGAGACCCCGGACUGUUGAGCAACUGAAGCUGUACAUCAAGAAUGGGAAAGAAUUCCACCUUCAAAGCUUCAACAGUUCGUCUCCUCAGUUCACAAACAUUUAUUGAGUGUAACACUCAAUAAAUGUUUGUGAACUGAUUCAGGACACCGAGGACACUGAGAGAGUGUGGAGGGCAGCAGCAGGUGAAACUGACUGAAAGGGAAAGUUUCAUAUCAGGCAAAGAGAAAUCCCCGACAAACCCGGGCUGAGAGAGAGAAGAAUCACAGACCUGUUAGAAAAACAGGAAAGACAGAACAGGGGGGGACAGUCUGACUGGGGGGCUCCUGAAGGUUUUCAUCCAGAGUUUCUGUGUGUCUCUGUCGUUUAUUCAUCUGAGCACAGAAACAUCUUCCAUCAACAAACACAACUCAGAGUUUCUGCAGUUUAUCAGUCCAGGAGCUGCAGAAGAAAUCACAGUUUUGAGACGCUUUAAAGAGGAGAACUGCAGCAAAAUGACUGCUAACCAAAAGAGAAACACUCUAUCAGGGCUGUUCUUGUGCUCAUAUUGAAAGUGAAAGAGUAAUAAAGACAUGCAGACACUCACAUCCCUAACCGCCACAUCCUGUUCUCCAGAUAACGGUUAUUUAACACACUUUCCACCAUAAUGUUUAGAAACCUCUCAGUCUGCAAACAUGGACAGAAAGUCAAAGACUGAAAAGUCUAAAGUGAUCAUGUGUUAAUAUUUCACCCUCCUGUUGUUCCCUCUGUAGCUGCUUUAAACAAAGUCCUCUGACCGAGUUCGACAUGAUUUCACCCUUCAGGACAUCUGAACAUGAAUUGUCUUCAACCGAAGUUUUUCCACUCUCAGCUCUGAAAAAAUAGGGAUAAUUCAACAUAAUCAUCAACACUAAAAGGGUUACAGCCUGAUGAGACCCAAAAUUCAUCCUGAAAUACAGAAAAUGAAUGUUUAUCAGAGUCUUCUGUGUCAAAGGAAAAACUCAGUUUUUAGAGGGUGGUCUCUGACAGAAAAGAAACUCCAAACAACUCCAGAGUGAACACAUGAACUUAGACUUAAACACAGACAGGGUUAUACUACAGACAGGAUCAUCCUACAGACAGGUUUAUGAUACAGACAGGGUUAUACUACAGACAGGGUUAUAACUCAGACAGGGUUAUAACUCAGACCACAGAAACUCCACCUAAAGUGUUUUUAAUUUCAAGUUUUUUUAAUCUAUUAUUUUUUUAAACUCAUUUAUUGAUUAAAAUUUUGUUGUUUUUAUUUUGACUUUCCUUUUCUUUUUCUGUACAUCUCUUUGUGUUGCACCAACAUUGUGUAAGAAGUGCGUCAUAGAUAAAGUUUGUCUCAUUGACACAUUGACUGGGAUGGGCUCAGUUUCAGUUUUCCAGUAAAUCAUGUGAGUGAUUUCAAACAGGGAGACUGAAAGUGAAAGUAUGGAGACUCUAUAAAAACCCACCAGCCCGCUGAUCUGCAGAGUCACUCUGAGCAGAGAUACAGCAGCAGGUAAGAGCCACUUUAACCUGUUAGGACCUUUUUUUACAGUCUCUCUGUCAUUUACUGAUGCUCACUGAAACACCAACUCUGUCCUCCAGCUCCAUUUUAAUCUGUAGAAACUGGAUUUUAUUGAUUUAAGAGUUGCAUGCUGUCUCAUCAUGUUUGGAGGGUUUUACUUCAGAAUAAGGAGAUUAUUGUAAUAAUGAUCACUUUGUUCCUCAUAGGUUGAUGUAAAGGAGAAAUAUUGAACUCUUUAUAUCAGCUGAUUACCUCUCAGAUUUAUCAUUGAUGGUUCAGCCUUAAACAGAUCAAUAAUGUCUGAAUAUCUGCAGACCGUGAGCUUCUACAAAGGUUUUAUUUUAGAGACUGGUCAAACAGCUGAGGUCAUGUUUUAAUAUGUGAACAUGUUCUCUGCAGACAUGGGCUCAUCAAAAUCAAAAUGCAGACGAUCACAUGGACAUUCUCCAUAUUAUCGACCUUCUCCACCUCCUCCAACUCCUCCACCUUCCCGUAAGAGGCUGAAUUCUUACUGACAUGAUCUCAGAUCUGAGGAUCAGGAUCUUUAAUCAGUAACCAUGUUUUUCAGUUUUUCUCACUAUUGUUCAUUUUUGUCCUUCAGCCUGUCUGAGUCAACCGUGGAGACGAUUGAAUGAGUGAGUGAGCAUUCUAAGGACACACACACACACACACACACAUACACAUACACACAUAGACAUACAUAUACACAUUGACACACGCACACACACAUAUACACAAAUACACGCAUAUACACACAGUAAUAUAUAUAUAUAUACAUAUAUACACAUAUACACUCACCGGCCACUUUAUUAGGUACACCUGUCCAACUGCUCGUUAACACUUAAUUUCUAAUCAGCCAAUCACAUGGCGGCAACUUAGUGCAUUUAGGCAUGUAGACAUGGUCAAGACAAUCUCCUGCAGUUCAAACCGAGCAUCAGUAUGGGGAAGAAAGGUGAUUUGAGUGACUUUGAACGUGGCAUGGUUGUUGGUGCCAGAAGGGCUGGUCUGAGUAUUUCAGAAACUGCUGAUCUACUGGGAUUUUCACGCACAACCAUCUCUAGGGUUUACAGAGAAUGGUCCGAAAAAGAAAAAAUAUCCAGUGAGCGGCAGUUCUGUGGGCGGAAAUGCCUUGUUGAUGCCAGAGGUCAGAGGAGAAUGGCCAGACUGGUUCGAGCUGAUAGAAAGGCAACAGUGUCUCAAAUAACCACCCGUUACAACCAAGGUAGGCAGAAGAGCAUCUCUGAACGCACAGUACGUCGAACUUUGAGGCAGAUGGGCUACAGCAGCAGAAGACCACGCCGGGUGCCACUCCUUUCAGCUAAGAACAGGAAACUGAGGCUACAAUUUGCACAAGCUCAUCGAAAUUGGACAAUAGAAGAUUGGAAAAACAUUGCCUGGUCUGAUGAGUCUCGAUUUCUGCUGCGAUAUUCGGAUGGUAGGGUCAGAAUUUGGCGUCAACAACAUGAAAGCAUGGAUCCAUCCUGCCUUGUAUCAACGGUUCAGGCUGGUGGUGGUGGUGUCAUGGUGUGGGGAAUAUUUUCUUGGCACUCUUUGGGCCCCUUGGUACCAAUUGAGCAUCGUUGCAACGCCACAGCCUACCUGAGUAUUGUUGCUGACCAUGUCCAUCCCUUUAUGACCACAAUGUACCCAACUUCUGAUGGCUACUUUCAGCAGGAUAAUGCGCCAUGUCAUAAAGCUGGAAUCAUCUCAGACUGGUUUCUUGAACAUGACAAUGAGUUCACUGUACUCAAAUGGCCUCCACAGUCACCAGAUCUCAAUCCAAUAGAGCAUCUUUGGGAUGUGGUGGAACAGGAGAUUCGCAUCAUGGAUGUGCAGCCGACAAAUCUGCGGCAACUGUGUGAUGCCAUCAUGUCAAUAUGGACCAAGCUCUCUGAGGAAUGCUUCCAGCACCUUGUUGAAUCUAUGCCACGAAGAAUUGAGGCAGUUCUGAAGGCAAAAGGGGGUCCAACCCGGUACUAGCAUGGUGUACCUAAUAAAGUGGCCGGUGAGUGUAUUUAUAUAUACACUCACCGGCCACUUUAUUAGGUACACGUUCAAGAAACCAGUCUGAGAUGAUUCCAGCUUCAUGACAUGGCGCAUUAUCCUGCUGAAAGUAGCCAUCAGAAGUUGGGUACAUUGUGGUCAUAAAGGGAUGGACAUGGUCAGCAACAAUACUCAGGUAGGCUGUGGCGUUGCAACGAUGCUCAAUUGGUACCAAGGGGCCCAAAGAGUGCCAAGAAAAUAUUCCCCACACCAUGACACCACCACCACCAGCCUGAACCGUUGAUACAAGGCAGGAUGGAUCCACGCUUUCAUGUUGUUGACGCCAAAUUCUGACCCUACCAUCCGAAUGUCGCAGCAGAAAUCGAGACUCAUCAGACCAGGCAAUGUUUUUCCAAUCUUCUACUGUCCAAUUUCGAUGAGCUUGUGCAAAUUGUAGCCUCAGUUUCCUGUUCUUAGCUGAAAGGUCUUCUGCUGCUGUAGCCCAUCUGCCUCAAAGUUCGACGUACUGUGCGUUCAGAGAUGCUCUUCUGCCUACCUUGGUUGUAACGGGUGGUUAUUUGAGUCACUGUUGCCUUUCUAUCAGCUCGAACCAGUCUGGCCAUUCUCCUCUGACCUCUGGCAUCAACAAGGCAUUUCCGCCCACAGAACUGCCGCUCACUGGAUAUUUUUUCUUUUUCGGACCAUUCUCUGUAAACCCUAGAGAUGGUUGUGUGUGAAAAUCCCAGUAGAUCAGCAGUUUCUGAAAUACUCAGACCAGCCCUUCUGGCACCAACAACCAUGCCACGUUCAAAGUCACUCAAAUCACCUUUCUUCCCCAUACUGAUGCUCGGUUUGAACUGCAGGAGAUUGUCUUGACCAUGUCUACAUGCCUAAAUGCACUAAGUUGCCGCCAUGUGAUUGGCUGAUUAGAAAUUAAGUGUUAAUGAGCAGUUGGACAGGUGUACCCAAUAAAGUGGCCGGUGAGUGUAUAUAGUUUCAACAAAGCUUAUCACACCUUUCUUUUUUCUUUCCUUCUUUUAUCCUUUUAUUUUAUUAGUUUUAAUAUAUUAUAUGAUCUUGUUUUAAAUUAUUUAAAAUAAUUUUAUCUUUUUUGAAUCUUAUGUUAUUAUAAAUUAUCUUGUUUUAUCUUGUCUUAUUUUCAUCAAUUCUAUAUUUUUAUUUUGUUUUAUCUUGCUUCAACUUUUUAUCUUGUAUAAUCUGUUAAUCUUGUUUUAUCUUGAAAUUUUCUUAAUUUUCAUUUUUUAAAAUGAUUUUAUCUUUUUAUCUUAUCAUUUUAUUUUGUCUUAUCUUUUUAUUUUAUUUUAUCCUGUUUUUAAUUUGUGUUUUUUUUAUUUCCUUAUUUUAUUUGAUCUGAUUUCACACUUUUAUUGAAUCUUAUUUUAUCCUUUUAAAUUUUAACUUUUUUUAGAAAUAAUUUAAUCUUUUCAUUGAUCUUUUUUAAACUUUUUUUUGUCUGUUUUAUCUGGUUUUGUCUUGUUGUAUUUUAUUGUAGUUUGUUAUGGUCAGGGCUCUUUUGUUUAAUACUAAACAGAUGAGAUAAAACAAUCUGAUGUCUCUGCUUUGUCAGGAGCUCCGGGGACAUCAUUAGGUACCUGGGAGCCUACCACCCUCGAAACAAACAAGUCAGUCACUUGAGGGUUCUGCUGCACGGCCCGGUCGGUGCAGGAAAGUCCAGUUUCAUCAACUCAGUGGACAGCGCUCUCAGGGGUCGUGUGACCGGUCGAGCUGCUACUGAUGCAACUUCAGGGACAAGCUACACCCUGGAGGUAGGACGGUCUAGAGCCUGAGAGAACGUCUGAUUGUGGUCCUUCAGAAACUUCUGAGACAGUUAUACGUGACUUAACAAAUUUACAAAAUGACAGAGACAAACAUAAAAUAUCCACAAAUUAAUGAAAAACUCAAAUGAACAAACUCUUUAGAAACUAACUCUCUCUAACUCUCUCAGACUGAAUCUCCUUUUUAAGAAAAUGAAAAAUCUUUUAAAUUGACACUUUUAUUUGUUUAACUGAUGCAUUUACUGUCUCCUUCUUUCAGUAUAAAACCUACAAGAUAGAAAAACAGGCGUCGAGCUUUUAUUCUGUGGUUUUUAAUGACAUCAUGGGCCUGGAGAACAGCCUGGACAACGGCGUCCAAGUGGACGACGUCAAACUGGCGAUGAAAGGACACGUGAAGGAAAAUCACAAGGUACGCACUGAAGGACUUUGUUGAACUGAAGGUCCUGUAGAGUCUAAUCUGUCCAACCAUAGAGGUUAAAUCCACAGUCACUGAUCGAACCAGAACCAAGUCUGUGAGGACAUGAUACCACACCAGUGUACAACAGCGCCAUCUUCCUGUUUUAAGGUGUAUUACUACUUCCUGUGGCUGAGGGGAUUUUGAGAAUGACUCUGGCUGUGUCUCAUUUCAGAGACCGCAUCGUGAUAAGCGCGCUUAACGGCGCUUAGCUGAGUGCACUGCCGUUUUGAGCCGUUUUACGCCGUUUUGCGCCGUUCUGUGCCCUUCCUGUGUCCCAUUUCAGAUACAGCAGCCAUCGAACGGCGCAUCUGACGCGUACGUGAGGUCACCACGCGGCACGAACGGUGUCCCGUUUGGCACAAAAUACUAAGCGCGCUUCAAAUUCGGUCUCAAAACCACACUACCCCCGCCUCGUUUUCAAGCGUGCAUGUAUGCACGCUUUCGUGCCGUCGGUAUCCCAGAAUUCUUUGCGUGCCGCUGCACAGCUGUGCAUUUCAGGUGAGAGGCUGGACUCGCUUGGAGACACAGCGCGUCUUCGAAGAAAAUACAAGCAAUCCAAAACCAUCAGACAGUCAGCUCAGGCUGUAUGAGAGCAUGAUCUCUGAACUCACUAAAAUCUGUAAACCAAACAUUAGAGAUUUAGAGACGAACUGAUCCGCUGUGUUACAACUAUCAAAAACAUUAGAAAUAAGAAGCUGACAAAACUACAGCAGAGGAUCAGGACAACAUUGAGUUUUUUUUCUUUUAAGAUUUAGAGAUUCAAGUUGUAAAUUUAGGAGAAUAAAGUCAUAAAGUAAAUAAAGUCAUGAAGCUGCUUUUGUGGAGGGGGAAAUGACUGAAGCUGGUCAUCUGCAGGGUUAUCUGUGGAUGUAUCAGCGGGUCAUUCAGAGAGAUUUUGUGGUUUCUGAAGAAACAAUCAAACUGAUGAUGAUCAACAUUUGUGAUCCAGAGGGAGUCGAGCUCCGACGAGCACCACGUCUCUGACACCGGCCGUAGCCUACACCUGCAGAGACACCAACACCUUAUUAUGGCAUAUGGAUUCAUAUCAUAAACUAAAGCUCAAUGUCAUUCACGGAUAUUAACGGCUGCAUUGACAGAUAUAUCCUCAGCAUAUUCAUUUCUGCCUCCACAAAAGCAGCGAUUUCCUUCAAGUACACCAGUUUUUUCCCCCGUGGAAAAGACGUAUUUCUCAUAUAUUCUUUUUAAAGUCUUUAUACUUAUGACAAUGUUAUGCUGAUGUGCCAGAGGAUGAAGAAUCUCCUUGUUUGUGAAACCUAUACUGAAGCACAGUUCCUUCAAAUGCUUCAUGGCCCUAAUUUUAGCAAGUCUCUCUGAAAUAACAGGUUAUGACUUCAUUCUCAUAAAUUAAUGACUUUAUUCUCGUAAAUUCACGACUUAAAUCUCGAAGUCCUUAAAGUCUUAAAUCUCAAUAUGGCCCUCAUACUCCUUCUUACAAAACAAUCAUUGGAUGAAUUGUGCUUGUAUGUAUCUACUAUUUUGUGUCUGUGCAAGGUCGCACAAUUAAAACAAUAAAUGCUGCGCUCUGCGGGUUUCCUUUAAGUCAGUCGUGACGCGAGCCUGAGGGCGGGGACAUUUGGCAACUCCACCAGGAAGUCCUCCGAAGGUCUCCAAAUGUCCCCGCCCUCAGGCUUACGUCACGACUGAUUAGAAAAAAAGCUGCGGAGCGCAGCAUGUAUUGUUUUAAUUGUGCGACCUUGCACAGACACAAAAUAGUAGAUACAUACAAGCCCAGAUCAUUCCCACAAAAUUAAUCCAAUGAUUGUUUUGUAUGAAGGAGUAUGAGGGCCCUAUUUAGAAGGAGGAUAGGAGAUACUUCAUCCUCUGGCACAUCAGCAUCACAUUGUCAUAAGUAUAAAGACUUUAAAAAGAAUAUAUGAGAAAUACGUCUUUUCCACGGGGAAAAAAACUGGUGUACUUGAAGGAAAUCGCUGCUUUUGUGGAGGCAGAAAUGAAUAUGCUGAGGAUAUAUCUGUCAAUGCAGCCGUAAAUAUCCGUGAAUGACAUUGAGCUGUAAUUUAUGAUAUGAAUCCAUAUGCCAUAAUAAGGUGUUGGUGUCUCUGCAGGUGUAGGCUACGGCCGGUGUCAGAGACGUGGUGCUCGUCGGAGCUCGACUCCCUCUGGAUCACAAAUGUUGAUCAUCAUCAGUUUGAUUGUUUCUUCAGAAACCACAAAAUCUCUCUUAAUGACCCGCUGAUACAUCCACAGAUAACCCUGCAGAUGACCAGCUUCAGUCAUUUCCCCCUCCACAAAAGCAGCUUUAUGACUUUAUUUACUUUAUGACUUUAUUCUCCUAAAUUUACAACUUGAAUCUCUAAAUCUUAAUAGAAAAAAACCUCAAUGUUGUCCUGAUACUCUGCUGUAGUUUUGUCAGCUUUCUCAUUUCUAAUGUUUUUGAUAGUUGAAGCAGAGCGGAUCAGUUCGUCUCUAAAUCUAUAAUGUUUGGUUAACAGAUUUUAGUGAGUUCAGAGAUCAUGCUCUCAUACAGCCUGAGCUGACUGUCUGCUGUUUUUGGAUUGCUUGUAAUUUCUUUGAAGACGCGCUGCGUCUCCAAGCGAGUCCAGCCUCUCACCUGAAAUGCGCAGCUGUGCAGCAGCACGCAAAGGAUUCUGGGAUACCGACGGCACGAAAGCGUGGAUAAAUGCACGCUUGAAAACAUGCUAAGCGCGCUUAGCAUUUUUUAGCAUCUCGUGCCAAACGGGACACCGUUCGCACCGUCGUGACGUCAUGCACACUUCAAAUGCACCGUUCGACGGUGCAGAAGGGCACUUAGGUCGAUGCGGUCUCUGAAAUGAGACACAGCCUCUGGCUGUGUCUCAUUUCAGAGACCGCAUCGGGAGAAGCGCGCUUAGCUGAGUGCACUGCCGUUUUGCACCCUUCCUGUGUCCCAUUUCAGAGACCGCAACCGUCGAACGGCGCAUCUGAAGCGUGCGUGAGGUCAUCACGCGGCACGAACGGUGUCCCGUUUGGUACAAAAUACUAAGCGCGCUUCAAAUUCGGUCUCAAAACCACACUACCCCCGGCCCUUUUUCAAGCGUGCAUUUAUGCACGCUUUCGUGCUGUCGGUAUCCCAGAAUUCUUUGCGUGCCGCUGCACAGCUUCGCAUUUCAGGUGAGAGGCUGGACUCGCUUGUGGACACAGCGCGUCUUCAAAGAAAAUACAAGAAAUCCAAAAUCAGCAGACAGUCAGCUCAGGCUGUAUGAGAGCAUGAUCUCUGAACUCACUAAAAUCUGUAAACCAAACAUUAUAGAUUUAGAGACGAACUGAUCCGCUGUGUUACAACUAUCAAAAACAUUAGAAAUAAGAAGCUGACAAAACUACAGCAGAGGAUCAGGACAACAUUGAGUUUUUUUUCUUUUAAGAUUUAGAGAUUCAAGUUGUAAAUUUAGGAGAAUAAAGUCAUAAAGUAAAUAAAGUCAUGAAGCUGCUUUUGUGGAGGGGGAAAUGACUGAAGCUGGUCAUCUGCAGGGUUAUCUGUGGAUGUAUCAGCGGGUCAUUCAGAGAGAUUUUGUGGUUUCUGAAGAAACAAUCAAACUGAUGAUGAUCAACAUUUGUGAUCCAGAGGGAGUCGAGCUCCGACGAGCACCAUGUCUCUGACACCGGCGGUAACCUACACCUGCAGAGACACCAACACCUUAUUAUGGCAUAUGGAUUCAUAUCAUAAACUAAAGCUCAAUGUCAUUCACAGAUAUUUACGGCUGCGUUGACAGAUAUAUCCUCAGCAUAUUCAUUUCUGCCUCCACAAAAGCAGCGAUUUCCUUCAAGUACACCAGUUUUUUCCCCGUGGAAAAGACGUGUUUCUCAUAUAUUCUUUUUUAAGUCUUAAAAAAACCAGAAAUGGGUUUCUUCGACCCAUUCUUUCCAACUCCUCCCAGUCGUUGUCUGUCCCCUUCUCCAGUAAGAUAAAUAUCUGCUCCUCACACUAGAAGCUUCUUGGAUAAGAGGCGAAACAUCUUCUCAACUCUACACAGUCCAGUUGCCUAUUUUUAAGUCUUCAAGAUAAUUUUGUCUUUAUCUCAUUUUUUUCUAGUUUAAUCCUCAAAACCCGCUCUCAGAGCGUGAUCAUGGCUACAACCCAAUCCCCACCUUGGAUGACAAAGUCCACGUCCUGGUCUGCGUGGUCCCUGUGGACACUGUGUCUCGGCUGACUGAUGGGGUGGUGCAGAAGUUAAGACAGGUCAGACUGGCAGCCAGGGACCAGGGUAAGUUCCCGCUCUGUGGACUCUAAGUCACCAGAGUCCUGCUGUCUGAGGUCUGAACCCCUCUGUGUGUCUGCAGGAAUCCCCCAGUUCGCCAUCCUCACCAAAGUGGACAAAGCCUGUCCAGAGGUGGGGAGAGACAUCCGCAACAUUCACAAGAGCAAAUACCUGAAGAAGCAGGUGAGUCUGAGUCCCUUAGAUUGUCCAAAGACCUUUACUCAGAGUCCAGUAACCAGACCGUCUCUGUGACCUGAAGGUGGAGCAGUUCAGCGUCCUCCUGGGGAUCCCUGUCAACUGCAUCUUCCUGGUGAAGAACUACGAGUCUGAGUGCUCCAUGUCUGAUGAGGUGAGCAGACCAAUCCUGACCGCCCUGAGACAGAUAGUAGACUACGGAGAGGACUACCUGAACAACAUGUAGACCCUUGCUCUGCUGAGACCCCCCCACACUCCAUGGUCAAGGAUUGGAGACCCCCCUGACCACAAUCUGGUUUCAGCCGUGUCAUGCAUGCGUUGAGAGAUCGUCGGUGUUUGAAAGUGUUCAGACUCUGGAAACUUCUUUCUGUUAAUUUAGACUUUGAAUAGGAAACUGUACAUAAAACAUUUUCAAUAAAACUAAAAUAAUGACCCAAUAAAACCUUUGAAUUCUUCCUUUAAUGAGUGAACUGUAGCUGCAGAGGGCUGUGUAAAUCUGUGUGUGUCUCACUGAAGAUCUUCUCAAAGUGUUUCAUUGAAUUUUGAUCCUAAUUUGUCAAAAAAUCACAAACCUGGUUCGACACUUUGGAAAACUAAAAUAUUUCCAUAAACAUGCAUCAAAAACUGUCGAUAUGAGGGAAACGGGCUGACUGCAGAGGAAGUUUAUCUAACCUCAAAUUUUCUUAAACAUAAAAUAAAAUAAUGAAAAUGAUCAGAAGGAAACGAAGCAGACUUCUGUUCAGGUUUGGACUGAACUGUCCGAGCUCCUCUUUGGUUUAUUUUCACGUCGUUGAGUGGUUUUGAGUCGGUCACAGCGCUGUUUCCUGCUGCCGUCUCUGUUAUGAUGACAUGUUUUCUCCUGAGGGUCUGGUCUUCAUCAGACGGUUUUAUUUCCUCAAACCUGACUGCAGGUGAACACACUCCCCUGUCUGACACUUCUUCUUUUAUUUCCUCCUCUUCUCUUUUAUGUCCUCCUCUCCUCCCUUAUUUUAUUUCCUUCUCUCUUCUUUUAUUUCCUCCUCUGAUCCCUUUUGUCCUCCUCUGCUCCCUAUGUCCUCCUCUCUUUCCUUAUUUCCUCCUCUCUUUUUUUAUUCGACUCAGGAUCACUUUAGUCAAAAUUUAUUUAUUACAAUUAGUGCUGGGCGAUAUGGAAAAAAAUGUGUAUCACGAUAUGGAUCAUUUUAUAUCACGAUAACGAUAUAUAUCACGAUAUAGCUAUGGUAUGCUUUCAGUUCUAUGAAAAAUUUAAGUGUAUACAGCUGCACUAGUACCAGUACAAGACCAGCACUUAAAACUAGAAAAAUUAAUAAAUAAAUACGUGGCUGAAGUGCGUUCAUGUCUGUGCUCACCCAAAGUUAUGCAACACUCACAGAAAACGCUGAUAGUGUGAGCCAAAGCACUCCAUAAUAAUAAUAAUAAUAAUAAUAAUAAUAAUAAAUUUAAUUUGUAAUGCACUUUACAUUUACCAAAAAUCUCAAAGUGCUACAGUACACAGUAAAAAAAGAGCAGCAACAAUAAAAAAGCAAUAGAAUGACAGUCACAGAUUGGCAUAAAAAAAAGAAUUAGAAAAAUAAAAAAUAUAGAGUUGCAAUGUAAGAGGCAAGGUAGUAAAAGCAUAGAGGAAAACUAACCAAAGGCUUUAUUAAAAAGGUUGGUCUUUAAGGGGUUGUUCACACUGCUAGAUGUUUCUCCUCCAAAGCUGCUCUCUGCCUCCAUCAUUGUUUACUUUACUCUUGAAGCACGUAGGAAGACCCGAGCAUGAAUCAGAGCGCUUUAUUCGCCUAUCAGGGGCAGACAGGUCAGGUGAUUUGAUUCGCCACGACUCCAGAAAUGAUUGAAAAACUACAGAGUGUCACAAAAUUACGUUUCCUCGCUGCUGGCUUGAAGGGUAGAAAUGCGCAGCCGCGCUCCCAGCUGACAGGAAGUCAAACCACUGUUGUAGUUCUUUUGUGUUGCUAGCGCGGUCAAGAGUGUUGGCUCUCACUGAGAGAUGACUACAAAAAUGGACGCACCUGUUCAUCUGGUUGUUAAACACGGCUGAAAAUGAUCAUCUUUUAAUGUUGUUCCCGCUCCUGCCCACUCCCGUUGCUUUUUUUCCCGUCCCGUCCCGAUCAAGGGAUUAAUUAAAAAAUGACUCCCAUCCCGUGGGAGUCCUGCGGGAAUCACGUGACCCACAGGAAUUCCCGAAAAAUGUCAUCCUCUACAGGGAAGGUCCCGGAGCAGAUGAAACAGGUGCCGGAGCGGCUGAAAUAGGUCCCGGAUCCGAUCAAAAGAGGUCCUGGAUCGCGCUCCGACUUGCUCCGGCACAAAUUAAGCACUGCUUACAAUGAUCCCCUCACGUGUGUAACCCAGGUAACCCGCAACGGCGGGAGACGCUGGACACGAAGAGGGCACGUAAAGCGGCGUCAUGUCGCAAAAUCGAAAGAGAAAUGCGAGCCUACAUGUCAACGCAUCCUUUUCUUUGCAAGAAAAUAUUGUUUUCUUUCCCGUUCGACACCAAAUACACUUACUGAAUGUGCAAUUAUUGUUGUUGUUACUAUGAAUCAUCUGAUGGCACAAGCCCUAUGGAUAAAAUACAGCCUAUCGCCCGAAACGAUAAAAAUAAAAAUGGCACGAUAGACAUUUUCUAUCGUGCCCACGAUAUCUAUCGUCCCAUCGCCCAGCACUAAUUACAAUCAAACAUAUUUUACACUGGCGGCAUAUCUCUGUUCUGAGAGUUCUCUGCUCUUCCAUGCGCUUGCAUGGAAUGCCACGGCUACAAGAGGGGACAGUUCCUCCCCUCCCUUUCAUGUGCAAACAUGAAAAGCCAAGGCAGAGAAAGCAGCAGCACAUAAAUACGAUUAAGAUAAAUAAAUCGAAAUCCCCCAAAACACCAUACAAGGCGACCCUCUCAGCUUUCAUGUAGCACAUGGAAGCCGAGGCAGGGAAAACAGCAGCAAAAAAGCCCCCCAGAACAACCAUACCAGGCAACAGCAGAGCAGCAGCCAGCAGCAAGAAACUAUGAAGCAUCCUACCCACCUCCAAAAGCUUGUGUAGUAUAGGUUACCCUUAAAACAUUAAAGCAGUUGAAGACACAUUUUUUGGCAGAGAAGACAGUUCAUUCGGCCAAACAUCAGCAACCACUGAUUAUUAAAACCCCCCAAAACCAACAUAUGGUGCUGUGACUAUAAAUAGCUUAAAUCACAGGAGAAGAUUCCUGAUAGUCACUAUAAGAGAAUGAGAUGCCUUUCCAUUUUUACACAGAAGUGACCAAACCGCAGUUUGGAUCUGCAACCUUCAUCUAAACUUACUCUAUCAUGGAGUUUCUCCACUGAUUUGGCAAGGUUGAAAAGUCUAGAUAUAAAGGACCGCCCCUGAGGCAUGACGCGCAAGGAAAAUUAAUAUGCCAAGUUCUCUUUCCGGUAGAUGAACUGCCUCUCGAGCAUGUCCUCUUACUUCUCUACCUCCUCUCCAUCAACUAUGCUAGGAACCCCUGAACCAGUCCUGUUAUCAAAUAAUUCACAAACAGUGGUUGGGAUGCUUUGCCAGUGCCUUCCCCAGCUCAGGGACAUUUGACGGAGUAGACAGCUGUAUUCUCCUUUUUUACAAGGCGGGUGCAUCUUGGGCGUGCUGUUUUUUAGAUAACCGUCCCUGCAGUAACUUGGCCUUGAAGUGAUGUAGGCUUAGAAAAAGCUUGGCGGUUGGCCUGUAGCCACAGUUUUAGGGCACAGAUUGGAGGUGUGAGCAGGGGUUAAUAUUAAGGUGACCAGAUUUCUGUAAUGAAACCAGGGGACAUUCGGCCUUGUAAUAACUCCCGUAACAACUGUUGUUCAGGACUGCUUACUUGUGCUUCCUUACCCAUUUUCGGGGACAGCUUUUUCCAGGGACAGGUCAUCCAAUUCGGGGACUGUCCCCGGAAAUCGGGGACGUCUGGUCACCUUAGUUAAUGUAGGAUAAGGUUCUUGCAUGUACUGUGCCCAUAGGCUUUGAACAAGAGGAGUAUACCCACAUUUAGCGAGGCGCCGACUCUGAUGCCACAGUACCAUCAUCUGCUGCAUCUCUCUCUCCCUCUCUUGAACAUAAAAUCUAUUUAUUUGUUUAUUUAAUAAUCAUUUAUCUAUUUAACAGCGUACUGCUGUGUACCGCUGCAUACCUGCUUCCUGGCUUACUCUGGGUGUGAGAGGAAGACCCACAGCUUGAGCAAGAAAAAGCUUGAUGCUAAGUCGAGUUGAGCCAGGUCGCCUACGGACUAAUCAAGUCUGGUUGAAUCUUUGAAUGUACUUAGCAGCUUUGCUGAAAAUGAUUUGUGAGAUUCCUAGAAUAAUAUUCUUCCAUAAGUCAUGUCUGAAUCAGAAAUAAUGGCAAGAUAUGUGUCCAGUUCAGUUCUGCGUGCUGAAAACACUUCACAUAUGACAUUUCCAAAUACGCAGAAAGCUACAUGAAUUCAGCUAAGGUCGGAGAUUUAAACAGACGCGCAUCACGAUAUUUAAGCAUCACAGACUCAUCUCCGCAAUCCACAAUGCGUCUAUCAUUGUAGUCGGAGCACAGCAAGAUUCUUUACAAGAUUAAUGUCGGUACCUUCGAGGAUUUGGCUCCGCAGAUUCGGUGUAAUUGCAGCCGCGGGAGGGAAGAAUGGGACGCCGAUGGAGACGGGGACUGCACUUCCCAGGGUCUUUGGCGGGAUCGUGACGCUGUCGUCGGUUGUCGCUGGAGUGACGUCAUCGUUCAGCGCGGUGAAGGAAGGUGACAGCUGGGAUGAAGGAGGACAGCUUAGCACGUGCCGAACCGGAUUCUGGGGCUUCGAUCCUCGAAGACAUGUGGGCGAGCGAUGGCUGGAUGCUGGAUAGUGCUUUCAGGAUGGGAUUGUCGUCCACGUCCGCGGCUCUGGUGGCUGGGGUUGGGCCUCGCGCUCUGCGGGCGGCGGCGAUGACGCGGCGGCUGAAGCUGAACUGCCGUGACGCGGCGGGAACAGCGUUUUCUUUUCUCGGUCGCUUUUCUGGAUACAGAGGAGGAAGAGAGAACUGCAAGUGGGGGCUCUAUGUGGAUAUUGAUGUGAGGCACCACCGGGAGCUGUGAUGUUAUCUAUAAAGGACUUCUAGGAGCCUGGACUUCAUGAAGCUGGGAGAAAUAAAAGUUUUACUUGCCAGAGGAGAGCUCGUGCAGAAGGAAACGCAUCUGUCAUUGCAAGGACUGGCUUCCUCGACCUCACAUGCUGGUGCUGCGUUUCAGAAAGCAGUCAAUCUGCCGUGGAUCCUUGUCGUGGGCAGGGAUCGACAUGAUGAAGAGCAAGGUAGGAAAAAGCAAAAAGGCAGAAUUGCAGCAGGCAGAGUAGACAGGAGAAGCAGUUUAAAUAGGGCGCCAUUUUGACAUUAGCCAAUAGGAUGUGUAGAGGGCGAUCACCUGAGCUGUAAGCUAACUGAGGGCUGGUUUAAGAUCAGCUUGACUCAGCGACCUGCCUGAACUACCUCUAUUCCUCCUUUCUCCUCCCUUAUUUCAUCCUCCCUUCUUUUGUUUCCUUCCCCUCUCUUUUGUUUUCUCCUUCCCUCCUUCCUUAUUUCCUCCUCUCCUCCUUUUACCUUUUGUUAUCUUUGAUGCUCUCUCUGCUUCGGUCCACAGGGGGGAGCCAAAUCCUUUUGAUAUUCCUUUUGUUUAUAUUGAGACAAUGUCUGAUUCUGGUGGCAGGUUUAUUGCAGGUCAUAGGACACAUUUUUAUGACCCCAACUGGGAUGAUGAGUCUUUUUUAGACAGGUUUUCUCAAUGCUACCUGACUUGUCCAUGUAUGAUUUAAUCUUAGGUGGAGACUUCAACUGCUGGAUUAAUCCAUACUUAAACCAUUCUUCCCAAUCCAAGUCGACCAAAGUGAUUCAAGCCUUUAUGAACAAGGUUAAUGUUGUUAACCCUUGGCGUUUUUUCGAUCCAGAUAAAAGGGAAUACUCUUUUUUUUCUUUCAUAUUCAUCAUACUUACACUUGAAUUGAUUUUUUUUCUAGUGAAUAAUAAAUUGUUAUCCAACAUUUCUGGCUGCAAAUAUGACUCAAUUGUUGUUUUGGAUCAUGCCUCCAUUUCUAUGAAUGUUUAUUUUCAGAAGUUUGUUAACCCUUGUGUCACCUUGUGGCUUUUUUUAGCCAGUAGGGGGCAAAAUACUCACUUUUUUGACCAAAAUACUCGCUAUUUUUUAGAGAGUGAAAUCAUUUUUGGUAAAGAAGUUUAAUUUGACGUAUAUUUUUAAUUUUCUCUUUCAAAAUUUUUAAAUGCACUGUUUACAGAUUUACUACCUUUGGUUGCGUUGUGGCUGUUUUGGGUCACUUACUUUAGCUGCUAUAAAAACAUACCAGACAAUUUUUUUUGCUCAAAUCUAUUCAAAGCUCAGUCCUUAUCAUAACAUUUUUUAUUAUUAUUUCAUUAUGAAUUUUAACCCUUAAAUGCCAAAUUAAAUGCCAAAUUAAGAGGCGAUGUCACUGAUUUGAUGGAAAGAGAAAAAAUCACACAAAAUGACAGAAUUUCAAUAUAAAAAGUAAUGAGAGGCUGAAGAUUUUUUACAUGCUAUCACACCCUUGGGUAUGUCAAAUAUAAGCAACAAAAUUAACUUUGAUGCAUUUUUAUUUUUUGCACAGCAUCGGGUUUAAGUUCAUCAUAACCGCACAGCUUUUCCAUCCGCCCGUUUGCGCUCAUGUUUUCAGAAAGGAGGGGAAAGCAAGAGUGGGAGAGAAUGAAAUUUUUUCAUGUCCGGUAUGCAUAUUAUUGGUAGAAAACCACCCCAAAAGUGGAUCUUUCAUAAUAGGGGACCUUUAAAACUAUUUGGGAGACAGAUCUGGGAGAGGUGAUUCAUAAAAGUGGAAAAGUAUAAGUCCCAACUCUAAGGCCAUACUUCUCCUUUCCCAUGCUCAUUAAAAAGAAACAGAUAUGAUUCUGCAAGCAUUCACACCAAGUGAUUUUCAGUAAAUGAUGAGUAAAAUACUUACAUUAUGAUAAAAUACACGUGAUAGCAUACACAUACAAUUUUUCUUACAGCAACGAUUUGCAAAUGAUUUCUAACCUAUAUUCAAUUUAAUACAGAAUCUGAUGGCAGCAACACGUGACAAAGAAGUCGGGACAGGUGAGAAAUUUGAGGAAUGCUCAUCAAACACCUGUUUGGACCAUCCCACAGGUGAGCAGGCUAAUAGGGAACAGGUGGGUGUCAUGAUUGGGUAUAAAAGCAGCUUCGCCAAAAAUUCUCAGUCAUUCACAAGCAAGGAUGGGGCGAGGUUCACCACUUUGUGAACAACUGCGUGAGCAAAUAGUCGAACAGUUUAAGAACAACGUUUCUCAAAGUACAAUUGUAAAGAAUUUAGAGAUUUCAACUACAGUCCAUAAUAUCAUCAAAAGGUUCAGAGAAUCUGGAGAAAUCACUGCACAUAAGCGACACGGCCGGAAACCAACUUUGAAUGCCCGUGACCUUCGACCCCUCAGGUGGCACUGUAUCAAAAACUGACAUCAUUGUGUAAAGGAUAUGACCACAUGGGCUCAGGAACACUUCAGAAAACCACUGUCAGUAAAUACAGUUCAUCUCUACAUCUGUAAGUUAAAACUCUACUACGCAAAGCCAAAGCCAUUUAUCAACAACAUCCAGAAACGCCGCUGGCUUCUCUGGGCCCGAGCUCAUGUAAGAUGGACUGAUGCAAAGUGGAAAAGUGUUCUGUGGUCUGACGAGUCCACAUUUCAGAUCGUUUUUGGAAACAGUGGACGUCGUGUCAUUCGGGCCAAAGCAGAAAAGAACCAUCCGGACUGUUGUAGACGCAGAGUUCAAAAGCCAGCGUCUGUGAUGGUUUGGGGGUGCAUUAGUGCCCAAGGCAUGGGUAACUUACACAUCUCUGAAAGCAACAUUAAUGCUGAAAGGUACACACAGGUUUUAGAGCAACAUGCUGCCAUCCAAGUAGGGCUGCAGCUAUCGAUUAUUUUAGUAAUCGAGUACUCUAUCGAUUAAUCUGUCGAGUAAUCGAGUAAUCGGAUAAGAAAUGUUUUGCUCUCACUGUAAUACUUUGCAUUGAAUCACGUUUGCCUCAGAGCGGACUUAAUGCAUGAACCGGGUGUUUUCUUUUAAGGUGCUGCAGCAUUGACGACGUGCUGUUGUGAAACGCCAACUCCGCCUUACAGUGAACGCACUGCACGGCAUUUUCUUUCCUUUUCAGUGUGUAAUGGUCCCACACUUUAGACACUUUCUGCCGUUUCCUCUGCGUGUCAUCUCUUUCUUCCUCUCUCUGUCUGUCCUCGUUUCCCUCCAUGAUUGAACCAAACGCGCCAUAGACAUAAUAAAAGAUAGACCCCGCAUCGGCCGCUACCACGAAUGGGCGCUGUCGAGAAAUGCGGCCGCCAUCUUGGUCCGGUCAUCCGCCUCACUCUGCACCGCUGUUUAACCGGCGGAAUGAAGUCUGAGCGCAUUAAUGAAUCAUAGUUCGCUCAAUACUACGUAAUUUUCUUCUCUGCAAACGCCAUUCAAAGAGGCAUGAUAGAGGCCAUAUUUUUUUUUGGCGUUUUCAAAUACUCAGAAUGAAUAAAAUGAUAUUUUAGAACAUGGCAGCAGUGGCUGUAUUAUAGUAUAACAAUUAAUCAAGGAUAUAUUUAGGUUUAGAGCUAGGUUCCUGCUAUGUCUCAAUAAUUAUUAAUAACUGGCGGUUUUAAUAGGCCAAUUCAAUAUAUAUUGAUUUGAUUAUAAUUUUUUAUAUAGUUUAAUUUUAUUUAUCCAUUUGUAGACACACACAAAUAAUGUCAUAUAGGAGCACUAUUUUAAUAACUGGAAAAUACACACAAAUAUAUAGCCUACAUAUCAAAAAGAUUUAAACACAAGAACAGCAUGACAGGACAGCAUCUAAACUACAUAUCAAUUUGCUUGUUGGCUACACAGCACAGAGGAAUCACUUGCUGCGAAUUUCUCCCUCUAACAGCAAUCUCCCACUUCUUCCUCAAGUUUUUGUCCUUAGGAAAUCUUCAAAAUGAAACAGGAGAUCACCACAAAGAAAUCUUUAAUAAAACAGAUAAUAAAACAGAGCUCACUUUCUUCCUUUUUCUUUCUAUUUUAUUUCUUAACGUUUCUUAGAACCUCUCUCAAACAAAAGUUUUUCAAUCUAAUGCAAAUCUGUUGAUAAUCGACCAAAGUUGCUAUUAUUGUGAAUAAGCCAGCUGUUCGCAAAUGCUGUUUCCUUUUUGGAGUUGACCGAUAGUCUUCCUCUUUGGCCUACAAAUGACUCUACAGUCAAGUGUAAUGUUUAAAAAAUGUUUAAUCAUAACUGUGAAAAGUUAUUUCUUGAGCCCUGUUCUCUGCUGUCCGCCUGUUGGCACAGGAAUACGCCGCACAGUGCUCCGGCAUCGCUGAAUGAAUGAAUAUGAUUGACCGGAGCGUAUGGGAAGCUUGACCUGACCAAGAUGGCGGCCGCAUUUCUCGCUGCGCAGCACCCCCAGCGGGGUCUACCCUUUUAUUAUGUCUAUGAAACGCGCGGCAGCGGAAGGAGCGGAAAGAGCACGCUGCUGCGCAACAGAAAUAACCAUCCGUGUCAAACACCGUGCGCUGCACAUGGUUCCGGAUUUAAACGAUUCCUCGAGGCAUAUAAUUUGCCUCGAGGAAUUUUAUUAAUCGAGUUACUCGAGUAAUCGUUUCAGCCCUACAUCCAAGCAACGUCUUUUUCAUGGACGGACAUUCUGCACAUGUUACAACAGCGUGGCUUUGUAGUUAAAGAGUGCGGGUACUCGACUGGCCUGCCUGCAGUCCAGACCUGUCUCCCAUUGAAAAUGUGUGGAGCAUUAUGAAGCGUAAAAUAGGACAACAGAGACCCCAGACUGUUGAGCAACUGAAGCUGUACAUCAAGCAAGAAUGGGAAAGAAUUCCACCUUCAAAGCUUCAACAGUUCGUCUCCUCAGUUCACAAACAUUUAUUGAGUGUAACACUCAAUAAAUGUUUGUGAACUGAUUCAGGACACUGAGGACACUGAGAGAGUGUGGAGGGCAGCAGCAGGUGAAACUGACUGAAAGGGAAAGUUUCAUAUCAGGCAAAGAGAAAUCCCCGACAAACCCGGGCUGAGAGAGAGAAGAAUCACAGACCUGUUAGAAAAACAGGAAAGACAGAACAGGGGGGGACAGUCUGACUGGGGGGCUCCUGAAGGUUUUCAUCCAGAGUUUCUGUGUGUCUCUGUCGUUUAUUCAUCUGAGCACAGAAACAUCUUCCAUCAACAAACACAACUCAGAGUUUCUGCAGUUUAUCAGUCCAGGAGCUGCAGAAGAAAUCACAGUUUUGAGACGCUUUAAAGAGGAGAACUGCAGCAAAAUGACUGCUAACCAAAAGAGAAACACUCUAUCAGGGCUGUUCUUGUGCUCAUAUUGAAAGUGAAAGUGUAAUAAAGACAUGCAGACACUCACAUCCCUAACCGCCACAUCCUGUUCUCCAGAUAACGGUUAUUUAACACACUUUCCACCAUAAUGUUUAGAAACCUCUCAGUCUGCAAACAUGGACAGAAAGUCAAAGACUGAAAAGUCUGAAGUGAUCAUGUGUUAAUAUUUCACCCUCCUGUUGUUCCCUCUGUAGCUGCUUUAAACAAAGUCCUCUGACCGAGUUCGACAUGAUUUCACCCUUCAGGACAUCUGAACAUGAAUUGUCUUCAACCGAAGUUUUUCCACUCUCAGCUCUGAAAAAAUAAGGAUAAUCCAACAUAAUCAUCAACACUAAAAGGGUUACAGCCUGAUGAGACCCAAAAUUCAUCCUGAAAUACAGAAAAUGAAUGUUUAUCAGAGUCUUCUGUGUCAAAGGAAAAACUCCGUUUUUAGAGGGUGGUCUCUGACAGAAAAGAAACUCCAAACAACUCCAGAGUGAACACAUGAACUUAGACUUAAACACAGACAGGAUCAUCCUACAGACAGGUCUAUACUACAGACAGGUUUAUAACACAGACAGGAUCAUACUACAGACAGGUUUAUGAUACAGACAGGGUUAUAACACAGACAGGGUUAUAACACAGACCACAGAAACUCCACCUAAAGUGUUUUUAAUUUCAAGUUUUUUUAAUCUAUUAUUUUUUUAAACUCAUUUAUUGAUUAAAAUUUUGUUGUUUUUAUUCGGACUUUCCUUUUCUUUUUCUGUACAUCUCUUUGUUUUUGGACCAUCAUUGUUUUAGAAGUGCUUCAGAAAUUAAGUUUGUCUUCUUGACACAGACUGAGGAGGGGUCAGUUUCAGUUUUCCAGUAAAUCAUGUGAGUGAUUCCAAACAGGGAGACUGAAAGUGAAAGUAUGGAGACUCCAUAAAAACCCACCAGCCUGCUGAUCUGCAGAGUCACUCUGAGCAGAGAUACAGCAGCAGGUAAGAGCCACUUUAACCUGUUAGGACCUUUUUUUACAGUCUCUCUGUCAUUUACUGAUGCUCACUGAAACACCAACUCUGUCCUCCAGCUCCAUUUUAAUCUGUAGAAACUGGAUUGGAGCAUUUUAUUGAUUUAAGAGUUGCAUGCUGUCUCAUCAUGUUUGGAGGGUUUUACUUCAGAAUAAGGAGAUUAUUGUAAUAAUGAUCACUUUGUUCCUCAUAGGUUGAUGUAAAGGAGAAAUAUUGAACUCUUUAUAUCAGCUGAUUACCUCUCAGAUUUAUCAUUGAUGGUUCAGCCUUAAACAGAUCAAUAAUGUCUGAAUAUCUGCAGACCGUGAGCUUCUACAAAGGUUUUAUUUUAGAGACUGGUCAAACAGCUGAGGUCAUGUUUUAAUAUGUGGACAUGUUCUCUGCAGACAUGGGCUCAUCAGAAUCCACACCUCCUCCACCUCCUCCACCUUCCCGUAAGAGGCUGAAUUCUUACUGACAUGAUCUCAGAUCUGUGUGUAUAAUCAGUGUGUGUAUAUAUCAGUGUGUAUAUGUGUAUGUGUGUGUGUGUAAAGUGCAUGGUUACUUUAAUCAGUAACCAUGUCUUUCAGUUUUUCUCACUGUUGUUCAUUUUUGUCCUUCAGCCUGUCUGAGGCAGCCGUGGAGACAACUGACAGAGUGAGUGAGCAUUCUGAGGACACAGUCCUGCUUAUUCACUCAUUCACACAUUCACACAUGUACAUUUAUUUAUAUUAACUCAUUUACACAUUAAACUAUUCACAUAUUUAUUCAUUCACACAGAGGCUAAGUAAGAUUGGUCUGUGUUUGUUUCCACACAGAGCUUAUCACACCUUUUUUCUUGUUUUUAUCCUUUUAUUUUAUUAGUUUUAUUAUUUAUUUGAUCUUGUUUUACAUGAUAUAAAGUUAUUUUAUCGUUUUCCAAUCUCAUUUUAUUUAAUAUAAUCUUGUUUUAUCUUGUCUUUUUUGUUUCUUGUUCUAUUUUUUAAUUUUCUUGUUUGACAUUUUUAAAAAUAAUUUUAUCUUUUAUUGAAUCAUUUCAUUUUUAUUUUGUCUUAUCUUUUUAUUUUCUUGUUUAAUUCUGUUUUUCAUUUUUUAAAGAAUUUUAUUAGAUUUUAUUUCACAUUUUUAUUUGAUCUUGAUUUAUCUUUUAAAAUUUUACCUUUUUAAAAAUAAUUUUCUUUUUUUAUCAUAUAUCAUUUUAAUUUUGUCUUGUCUUUUUACCUGUUUUUAAUUUGUGUUGUUUUUUUAUUUCCUUAUUUUAUUUAAUCUGAUUUCACACUUUCAUUGAAUCUUAUUUUAUCUUUUUAAAUUUUACCUUUUUUUAGAAAUAAUUCUAUCUUUUUAUUGAUCUUUUUAAAAAAAAAAAUUUUUGUCUAUUUUAUCUGGUUUUAUCUUGUAUUUUAUUGUAGUUUGUUAUGGUCAGGGCUCUUUUGUUUAAUACUACACAGAUGAGAUAAAACAAUCUGAUGUCUCUGCUUCGUCAGGAGCUCCGGGGACAUCAUUAGGUACCUGGGAGCCUACCACCCUCGAAAGAAACAAGUCAGUCACUUGAGGGUUCUGCUGCACGGCCCGGUCGGUGCAGGAAAGUCCAGUUUCAUCAACUCAGUGGACAGCGCUCUCAGAGGUCGUGUGACCGGUCGAGCUGCUACUGAUGCAACUUCAGGGACAAGCUUCACCCUGGAGGUAGGACGGUCUAGAGCCUGAGAGAACGUCUGAUUGUGGUCCUUCAGAAAUUUCUGAGACAGUUAUAUGUGACUCAACAAAUCUACAAAAUGACAAAAAAUAAAAUAUCCACAAAUUAAUGAAAAACUCAAAUGAACAAACUCUUUAGAAACUAACUCUCUCCCUGAAAAUGUGGAUCAUUUUCAGCAGGUUGGUUUUCAGAGGAGAGAAAAUAAAUCAGACUGAAUCUCCUUUUUAAGAAAAUGAAAAAACUUUUAAAUUGACACUUUUAUUUGUUUAACUGAUGCAUUUACUGUCUCCUUCUUUCAGUAUAAAACCCACAUGAUAGAAAAAGACGAGCAGAGCUUUUAUUCUGUGGUUUUUAAUGACAUCAUGGGUCUGGAAGACAGCCUGGACAACGGCGUCCACGUGGACGACGUCAAACUGGCGAUGAAAGGACACGUGAGGGAAAAUCACAAGGUACGCACUGAAGGACUUUGUUGAACUGAAGGUCCUGUAGAGUCUAAUCUGUCCAACCAAAGAGGUUAAAUCCACAGUCACUGAUCGAACCAGAACCAAGUCUGUGAGGACAUGAUACCACACCAGUGUACAACAGCGCCAUCUUCCUGUUUUAUGGUGUUUUACUACUUCCUGUGGCUGAGGGGAUUUUGAGAAUGACUCUGGCUGUGUCUCAUUUCAGAGACCGCAUCGGGCUAAGUGCACUUCUGCACCGUCGAACGGUGCAUAUGAAGCGUGCAUGACGUCACAACGGCGCGAACGGUGUCCCAUUUGGCACGAGAUGCUAAGAAAUGCUAAGCACGCUUAGCAUGUUUUCAAGCGUACAUAAAUGCACGCUUGAAAACAUAAAUGCAUAAGUGCCGUCGGUAUACCAGAAUGCUUUGCGUGCUGCUGCACAGCUGCGCAUUUCAGGUGAGAGGCUGGACUCGCUUGAAGACACAGCGCGUCUUCAAAGAAAAUACAAGAAAUCCAAAAACAGCAGACAGGUCAGCUUUGUGGUUUCUGAAGAAACAAUCAAACUGAUGAUGAUCAACAUUUAUUUGAUCCAGAGGGAGUCGAGCUCCGACGAGCACCACGUCUCUGACACCGACGGUAGCCUACACCUGCAGAGACACCAACACCUUAUUAUGGCAUAUGGAUUCAUAUCAUAAACUAAAGCUCAAUGUCAUUCACAGAUAUUUACGGCUGCGUUGACAGAUAUAUCCUCAGCAUAUUCAUUUCUGCCUCCACAAAAGCAGCGAUUUCCUUCAAGUACAGCAGUUUUUUUCCCCGUGGAAAAGACGUAUUGCUCAUGUAUUCUUUUUUUAAGUCUUAAACAAAACAGAGAUGGGUUUUUUUCGACCCAUUCUUUCCAACUCCUCCCAGUCGUUGUCUGUCCCCUUCUCCAGUAAGAUAAAUAUCUGCUCCUCACACCAGAAGCUUCUUGGAUAAGAGGCGAAACGUCUUCUCAACUCUACACAGUCCAGCCUAUUUUUAAGUCUUCAAGAUAAUUUUGUCUUUAUCUUAUUUUUUUCUAGUUUAACUCUCAAAACCCGCUCACAGAGCGUGAUCAUGGCUACAACCCAGACCCCACCCUGAAUGACAAAGUCCACGUCCUGGUCUGCGUGGUUCCUGUGGACAAAGUGUCUCUGCUGAAAGAUGGGGUGGUGCAGAAGUUAAGACAGGUCAGACUGGCAGCCAGGGACCAGGGUAAGUUCCCGCUCUGUGGACUCUAAGUCACCAGAGUCCUGCUGUCUGAGGUCUGAACCCCUCUGUGUGUCUGCAGGAAUCCCCCAGUUCGCCAUCCUCACCAAAGUGGACCAAGCCUGUCCAGAGGUGAGGAGAGACAUCCGCAACAUUCACAAGAGCAAAUACCUGAAGAAGCAGGUGAGUCUGAGUCCCUUAGAUUGUCCAAAGACCUUUACUCAGAGUCCAGUAACCAGACCGUCUCUGUGACCUGAAGGUGGAGCAGUUCAGCGUCCGCCUGGGGAUCCCUGUCAACUGCAUCUUCCUGGUGAAGAACUACGAGUCUGAGCUCUCCACGUCUGAUGAGGUGAGCAGACCCAUCCUGACCGCCCUGAAACAGAUGGUGAACUACGGAGAGGACUACCUGAACAACAUGUAGACCCUCGCUCUGUUGAGACCCCCCCACACUCCAUGGUCAAGGAUUGGAGACCCCCUUGACCACAAUCUGGUUUCAGCCGUGUCAUGCAUGCAUUGAGAGAUCGUCGGUGUUUGGAAGUGUUCAGACUCUGGAAACUUCUUUCUGUUAAUUUAGACUUUGAAAAGGAAACUAAACUAAACUAAUGACCCAAUAAAACCUUUGAAUUCUUCCUUUAAUGAGUGAACUGUAGCUGCAGAGGGCUGUGUAAAUCUGUGUGUGUCUCACUGAAGAUCUUCUCAAAGUGUUUCAUUGAAUUUUGAUCCUAAUUUGUCAAAAAAUCACAAACCUUGUUCGACACUUUGGAAAACUAAAAUAUUUCCAUAAACAUGCAUCAAAAACUGUCGAUAUGAGGGAAACGGGCUGACUGCAGAGGAAGUUUAUCUAACCUCAAAUUUUCUAAAACAUAAAAUAAAAUAAUGAAAAUGAUCUGAAGGAAACGAAGCAGACUUCUGUUCAGGUUUGGACUGAACUGUCCGAGCUCCUCUUCGGUUUAUUUCCAUGUCGAGUGGUUUUGAGUCGGUCACAGCGCUGUUUCCUGCUGCCAUCUCUGUUAUGAUGACAUGUUUUCUCCUGAGGGUCUGGUCUUCAUCAGACGGUUUUAUUUCCUCAAACCUGACUGCAGGUGAACACACUCCCCUGUCUGACACUUCUUCUUUUAUGUCCUCCUCCCUUAAUUUAUUUCCUUCUCUCUUCUUUUAUUUCCUCCUCUGAUCCCUUUUGUCCUCCUCUGCUCUCUUAUGUCCUCCUCUCUUUCCUUAUUUCCUCCUCUCUUUUUUUAUUUCACUCAGGAUCACUUUAGUCAAAAUUUAUUUAUUACAAGCAAACAUAUUUUACACUGGCGGCAUAUCUCUGUUCUGAGAGUUCUCUGCUCUUCCAUGCGCUUGCAUGGAAUGCCACGGCUACAAGAGGGGACAGUUCCUCCCCUCCUUUUCAUGUGCAAACAUGAAAAGCCAAGGCAGAGAAAGCAGCAGCACAUAAAUACGAUUAGGCCUGUCACGAUAACAAAUUUUGCUGGACAAUAAUUGUGCUACAAAUUAUCGCCGAUAAACGAUGUUAUUGACACCGUUUUUUAAAAUUAUAGAUAAUGAUAUGAAAUGGCAUAAUAAUGCGAGUACACUGUGUCAAAAGUGAUAAACUUUAAUUUCACCCACGACGAAGACGUAACGUUGACGAGCUAAACAUAAGUCGGAGAUGACUAAAAUGUGACGAGACGAAAGUGCGUUUACGUUGAUGAGACGAGACGAAAAUGACGCACAGAGUUGCAAAACUCAGUAUAUUAAACGCUAAACAUAUAGGAGCAGCUUCAGUCCGCUCUGACAGCUCUCAUCAGCCUGCUGUGCUCCUCCAACACACAGACACACGCGCGCGCGCACACACGUGGAGUUUUGUGGUUGACGAAAACAAAACUGGUUUAAAGCCGAAAUAUUCCCACACUUGGGCUGUUGCGUUCGGUUUAGACACCAAAGCUGUCGUGUUCAUUCUGUUUGCUUGCUUUUCACUCACGACGCUCACUUGCAGCACUGUAUCCAAAAGUCUGUGUCUGUGUGCCUGUGCGCGCCUACGUGUACCUGCGCGCGCGCCCCCUCGUAACAAAGAUACUGAAUGACUGACAGGAGGGUUCACUAACUCCGUUCAUUCCGCUAUACAGCCAACGCCCCCAGGUGCCGAGAAAAUGCGCAGAGUGAGACCUCUUCUCUCAUCCAGCGUGUUUGGUAGCGAGAGAGGAGGAAAACAAACGCACGUCAAUUAUCGAGGCUGGCAAAAUGACCGACCUCGUUUUUAUUUACCGAGCGAUAAGGCGAUUUAUUGAUUAUCGCGACAGGCCUAAAUACGAUUAAGAUAAAUAAAUCAAAAUUCCCCAAAACACCAUACAAGGCGACCCUCUCAGCUUUCAUGUAGCACAUGGAAGCCGAGGCAGGGAAAACAGCAGCAAAAAAGCCCCCCAGAACAACCAUACCAGGCAACCCUCCCCAGCUUUCAUGAGCUUCAUGAAAGCUGGGGAGGGAGAGCAGCAGCCAGCAGCAAGAAACUAUGAAGCAACCUACCCACCUCCAAAGCUUGUGUAGUAUAGGUUACCCUUAAAACAUUGAAGCAGUUGAAGACACAUUUUUUGGCAGAGAAGACAGUUCAUUUAGCCAAACAUCAGCAACCACUGAUUAUUAAAACCCCCCAAAACCAACAGAUGGUGCUGUGACUAUAAAUAGCUUAAAUCACAGGAGAAGAUUCCUGAUAGUCACUAUAAGAGAAUGAGAGGCCUUUCCAUUUUUACACAGAAGUGUUGCAGUUUGGAUCUGCAACCUUCAUCUAAACUUACUCUAUCAUGGAGUUUCUCCACUGAUUUGGCAAGGUUGAAAAGUCUAGAUAUAAAGGACCGCCCCUGAGGCAUGACACACAAGGAAAAAUAAUAUGCCAAGUUCUCUUUCCGGUAGAUGAACUGCCUCUCGAGCAUGUCCUCUUACUUCUCUACCUCCUCUCCAUCAACUAUUUCAGGAUCUGUCAUCACGGAUUGUAAAUUUAUUUUUACACACAAAAGACACUUUUGGCAGACAGACCAAACCUGUUAGGAACCUCUGAACCAGUCCUGUUAUCAAAUAAUUCACAAACAGUGGUUGGGAUGCUUUGCCAGUGCCUUCCCCAGCUCAGGGACAUUUGACGGAGUAGACAGCUGUAUUCUCCUUUUUUACAAGGCGGGUGCAUCUUGGGCGUGCUGUUUUUUAGAUAACCGUCCCUGCAGUAACUUGGCCUUGAAGUGAUGUAGGUAGGCCUGUCACGAUAACAAAUUUUGCUGGACGAUAAUUGUGCUACAAAUUAUCGCCGAUAAACGAUAUUAUUGACACCGUUUUUUAAAUUAUAGAUAAUAUUAUAUGGCAUAAUAAUGCGAGUACACCGUGUCAAAAGUGAUAAACUUUAAUUUCCACUGUCUGUCAGCGCGCACCAUUUUGCGCUGUUUUGUUUAUAUUUGCUUGCUUACCAAACGCUUCAGUAAGCGGUACCUCCGGCGGUACUUUUUCUGCUCAUUUGAGAAAAAUGGAGGGGAUGAUUGUGCUUGAGGUGCACGUGCAUGUUCGUCGUAUUCCCCUUCUUUGUCACCACAACUUUGGCACAAAUACGACAUAUCGGCUCGUCCGUAUUUGUGGGCUCACCUCUUUCAUUUGGUUUAAAGCAGUGUUGUUUUCUUCAUAUUUCGUCAGAUAUUUUCGUCAACGCCAGCGUCAAAAAAGGGAAAUAUUGACUAAAAUAUUUCCCUUUUCUUCCACGACGAAGACGUAACGUUGACGAGCUAAACAUAAGUCGGAGAUGACUCAAAUGUGACGAGACGAAAGUGCGUUUACGUUGAUAGGACAGGCGAAAAUGAUGAACAGAGUUUCAAAACUCAGUCAGUUAAACGCUAAACAUAUAGGAGCAGCUUCAGUCCGCUCUGACAGCUCUCAUCAGCCUGCUGUGCUCCUCCAACACACAGACACACGCGCGCCCGCACACACACACGUGGAGUUUUGUGGCUGACGAAAACAAAACUGGUUUAAAGCCGAAAUAUUCCCACACUUGGGCUGUUGCGUUCGGUUUAGACACCAAAGCUGUCGUGUUCAUUCUGUUUGCUUGCUUUUCACUCACGACGCUCACUUGCAGCACUGUAUCCAAAAGUCUUUUGCUGCGUCCAAACUGCCCGCUCGGAUACUACAUGCUACUGCUAGAUCCUACUCCUACAUACUAAACACGUUGGCCCAAUUCGGACACACUAGACGAGCGGUGGGGAAAGACGACCCCCGCAGGCAGAGAGUAGGUACUGCGCCCGUGCAGACAGUGGUAACUGAAGCCCCUCAUCUGCGGGCCUGGCUGUAGUACUGCAGCUGUGCAGUUUAAUGAUGGAAUAAGUGAGCUUUACCUCCAUGAUGUCGCCACUUGCUCAUAAAAUGAUUACUUGGGCAAAUAUGACACCAUGACAUGACAAAGAGAUACAACCGCACAUUUUUUAGGACAGUGUGUGAAGUUACAUGAAACUUACAUCUGUACUGCUGCGGUCCCGCGACAUGGUGCGCGCUGUUGUGGCCAGCCGGCGUUCACGACACAUUUAAAUAGGCAGAGCAGCUGGUGGCGCUAGCAUCACAUGCGCUUCUACAACUUUUAAGAGGACGAAGAAGAAGCCCGUGGUGCAUUUUGGGUCAGUAGCAUGCCCGUAGGAUGCACCGAGACCAACCUACAAUGUGGGCGUGUCUAGUAUCUGAAGUAGUAUCUGAAGUAGCAUGCUACUCGCUCCGGUGGCCAAUUCGGACAUGCUAGAUACUACUUCGACUACUACUUGGCAAUUCGGACGCAGCUUGUGUCUGUGUGCCUGUGCGCACCAGCCCCCUCGUGACAAAGACACUGAAUGACUGACAGGAGGGUUCACUAACUCCGUUCAUUCCGCUUAUAGAGCCAACGCCCCCAGGUGCCGAGAAAAAUGCACAGAGUGAGACCUCUUCUCUCAUCCAGCGUCUUUGGUAGCGAGAGAGGAGGAAAACAAACGCACGUUAAUUAUCGAGGCUGGCAAAAUGACCGACCUCGUUUUUAUUUAUCGAGCGAUAAGGCGAUUAAUUGAUUAUCGCGACAGGCCUAGAUGUAGGCUUAGAAAAAGCUUGGCGGUUGGCCUGUAGCCACAGUUUUGGGGCACAGAUUGGAGGUGUGAGCAGGGGUUAAUAUUAAGGUGACCAGAUUUCUGUAAUGAAACCAGGGGACAUUCGGCCUUGUAAUAACUCCCGUAACAACUGUUGCUCAGGACUGCUUACUUGUGCUUCCUUACCCAUUUUCGGGGACAGCUUUUUCCAGGGACAGGUAAUCCUAUUCGGGGACUGUCCCCGGAAAUGGGGGACGUCUGGUCACCUUAGUUAACGUAGGAUAAGGUUCUUGCAUGUACUGUGCCCAUGGGCUUUGAACAAGAGGAGUAUACCCACAUUUAGCGAGGUGCCGACUCUGAUGCCACAGUACCAUCAUCUGCUGCAUCUCUCUCUCCCUCUCUUGAACAUAAAAUCUAUUUAUUUGUUUAUUUAAUAAUCAUUUAUCUAUUUAACAGCGUACUGCUGUGUACCGCUGCAUACCUGCUUCCUGGCUUACUCUGGGUGUGAGAGGAAGACCCACAGCUUGAACAAGAAAAAGCUUGAUGCUAAGUCGAGUUGAGCCAGGUCGCCUACGGACUAAUCAAGUCUGGUUGAAUCUUUGAAUGUACUUAGCAGCUUUGCUGAAAAUGAUUUGUGAGAUUCCUAGAAUAAUAUUCUUCCAUAAGUCAUGUCUGAAUCAGAAAUAAUGGCAAGAUAUGUGUCCAGUUCAGUUCUGCGUGCUGAAAACACUUCACAUAUGACAUUUCCAAAUACGCAGAAAGCUACAUGAAUUCAGCUAAGGUCGGAGAUUUAAACAGACGCGCAUCACGAUAUUUAAGCAUCACAGACUCAUCUCCGCAAUCCACAAUGCGUCUAUCGUUGUAGUCGGAGCACAGCAAGAUUAUUUACAAGAUUAAUGUCGGUACCUUCGAGGAUUUGGCUCCGCAGAUUCGGUGUAAUUGCAGCCGCGGGAGGGAAGAAUGGGACGCCGGUGGCGACGGGGACUGCACUUCCCAGGGUCUUUGGCGGGAUCGUGACGCUGUCGUAGGUUGUCGCUGGAGUGACGUCAUCGUUCAGCGCGGUGAAAGAAGGUGACAGCUGGGAUGAAGGAGGACAGCUUAGCACGUACCGAACCGGAUUCUGGGGCUUCGAUCCUCGAAGACAUGUGGGCGAGCGAUGGCUGGAUGCUGGAUAGUGCUUUCAGGAUGGGAUUGUCGUCCACGUCCGCGGUUCUGGUGGCUGGGGUUGGGCCUCGCGCUCUGCGGGCGGCGGCGGUGACGCGGCGGGAACAGCGUUUUCUUUUCUCGGUCGCUUUUCUGGAUACAGAGGAGGAAGAGAGAACUGCAAGUGGGGGCUCUAUGUGGAUAUUGAUGUGAGGCACCACCGGGAGCUGUGAUGUUAUCUUUAAAGGACUUCCGGGAGCCUGGACUUCAUGAAGCUGGGAGACAUAAAAGUUUUACUUGCCAGAGGAGAGCUCGUGCGGAAGGGAACGCAUCUGUCAUUGCAAGGACUGGCUUCCUCGACCUCACAUGCUGGUGCUGCGUUUCAGAAAGCAGUCAAUCUGCCGUGGAUCCUUGUCGUGGGCAGGGAUCGACAUGAUGAAGAGCAAGGUAGGAAAACGCAAAAACGCAGAGUAGACAGGAGAAGCAGUUUAAAUAGGGCGCCAUUUUGACAUUAGCCAAUAGGAUGUGUAGAGGGCGAUCACCUGAGCUGUAAGCUAACUGAGGGCUGGUUUAAGAUCAGCUUGACUCAGCGACCUGCCUGAACUACCUCUAUUCCUCCUUUCUCCUCCCUUAUUUCAUCCUCCCUUCUUUUGUUUCCUUCCCCUCUCCUUUGUUUCCUCCUCCCCUCCUUCCUUAUUUCCUCUUCUCCUCCCUUGUUUCCUUCUCUCCUCCUUUUACCUUUUGUUAUCUUUGAUGCUCUCUCUGCUUCGGUCCACAGGGGGGAGCCAAAUCCUUUUGAUAUUCCUUUUGUUUAUAUUGAGACAAUGUCUGAUUCUGGUGGCAGGUUUAUUGCAGGUCAUAGGACACAUUUUUAUGCCCCCAACUGGGAUGAUGAGUCUUUUUUAGACAGGUUUUCUCAAUGCUACCUGACUUGUCCAUGUAUGAUUUAAUCUUAGGUGGAGACUUCAACUGCUGGAUUAAUCCAUACUUAAAUCAUUCUUCCCAAUCCAAGUCGACCAAAGUGAUUCAAGCCUUUAUAAACAAGGUUAAUGUUGUUAACCCUUGGCGUUUUUUCGAUCCAGAUAAAAGGGAAUACUCUUUUUUUUUUCUUUCAUAUUCAUCAUACUUACACUUGAAUUGAUUUUUUUCUAGUGAAUAAUAAGUUGUUAUCCAACAUUUCUGGCUGCAAAUAUGACUCAAUUGUUGUUUUGGAUCAUGCCUCCAUUUCCAUGAAUGUUUAUUUUCAGAAGUUUGUUAACCCUUGUGUCACCUUGUGGCUUUUAUUAUCCAGUAGGGUGCAAAAUACUCACUUUUUGACCAAAAUACUCACUAUUUUUUAGAGAGUGAAAUCAUUUUUGGUAAAGAAGUUUAAUUUGACGUAAUUUGAAGUUUAAUUUUGACGUAUUUUUAAUUUUCUCUGGCUGUUUUGGGUCACUUACUUUAGCUGCUAUAAAAACAUACCAGACAAUUUUUUUUUUGCUCAAAUCUAUUCAAAGCUCAGUCCUUAUCAUAACAUUUUUUAUUAUUAUUUCAUUAUGAAUUUUAACCCUUAAAUGCCAAAUUAAGAGGUGAUGUCACUGAUUUGGUGGAAAGAAAAAAAUCACACAAAAUGACAGAAUUUCAGUGUAAAAAGUAAUCAGAGGCUGAAGAUUUUUUACAUGCUAUCACACCCUUGGGUAUGUCAAAUAUAACAAAAUUAACUUUGAUGCAUUUUUAUUUUUUGCACAGCAUCGGGUUUAAGUUCAUCAUAACCGCACAGCUUUUCUAUCCGCCCGUUUGCGCUCAUGUUUUCAGAAAGGAGGGGAAAGCAAGAGUGGGAGAGAAUGAAAUUUUUUCAUGUCCGGUAUGCUUAUUAUUGGUAGAAAACCACCCAAAAGUGGAUUUUUCAUAAUAGGGGACCUUUAAAACUAUUUGGGAGACAGAUCUGGGAGAGGUGAUUCCUGAUGAUGUUUGGGAAGACAUUUUGUGGAGGGUACAUAAAGCUUCAAUAUGUGCUGGUCACAGCUUUAUGCAAUGCUGAAUCCUACAUCGAGCUCACUACACUAAAGCCAUACUUUCAAAAAUGUUCGAUUCAGUGUCUCCUCUAUGUGAUCGAUGCCAACAAUCCACAGCAAAUUACUCUCACAUGUUUUGGAGCUGCUCUUCUCUGACAAGAUUUUGGUCUGAAAUGUUCAAUACUUUUUCCAAGAUAUCUUAAAGGGAUUUGACUCCCAAUGCCUUAACUGCUUUAUUUGGUGUAUGCCCUUUCCCUCGUAGUCUUUCCCCUACUAAAAGGGAUUUCAUAGCAUUUACAGCUAUGUUAGCCAGGAGGUUGAUACUGCUAAAAUGGAAAUCCCAAGUCCCACCUACCCAUACAAAUUGGGUUAAGGAGGUGCUUAAUUUUUUUUAGCACCUCCUUAUUUUUUUUCUCAUUUGUCCUGUGUUAACAGCACAAGAUGUCCGAUCACUGUGACCUGAGUAUUGUAAUGCUGAGCCUCUUUUUUGUUAUUGUUUGUUUAUUUGUUUGUUUUUCUAUGUUGGGCUGAGUGCCAACGGGAUGUGGUGGGGGGGGUGGGUAUCUGUUCUGGGUUAUGUUGAAUCUACAAAACCCAAUUCCACUGAAGUUGGGAAAUUGUGAUAAAUAAAAACAGAUGAAAUACUUACAUUAUGAUAAAAUACACGUGAUAGCAUACACAUAAAAUUUUUCUUACAGCAACGAUUUGCAAAUGAUUUCUAACCUAUAUUCAAUUGAAUACAGAAUCUGAUGGCAGCAACACGUGACAAAGAAGUCGGGACAGGUGAGAAAUUUGAGGAAUGCUCAUCAAACACCUAUUUGGACCAUCCCACAGGUGAGCAGGCUAAUAGGGAACAGGUGGGUGAUUCAGUCAUUCACAAGCAAGGAUGGGGCGAGGUUCACCACUUUGUGAACAACUGCGUGAGCAAAUAGUCGAACAGUUUAAGAACAACGUUUCUCAAAGUACAAUUGUAAAGAAUUUAGGGGUUUCAACAUCUAAGGUCCAUAAUAUCAUCAAAAGGUUCAGAGAAUCUAGAGAAAUCUCUGCACGUAAGCGGAACGGCUGGAAACCAACAUUGAAUGCCCGUGACCUUUGACCCCUCGGGUGGCACUGUAUCAAAAACUGACAUCAUUGUGUAAAGGAUAUCAGCACAUGGGCUCAGGAACACUUCAGAAAACCACUGUCAGUAAAUACAGUUUAUCACUACAUCUGUAAGUUAAAACUCUACUAUGCAAAGAGAAAGACAUUUAUCAACAACAUCCAGAAACGCCGCUGGCUUCUCUGGACCCGAGCUCAUGUAAGAUGGACUGAUGCAAAGUGGAAAAGUGUUCUAUGUGUUCUAAGUGUUCUCAUUCUGCACGUGUUCCAACAGCGUGGCUUCGUAGUUAAAGAGUGCGGGUACUCGACUGACCUGUCUGCAGUCCAGACCUGUCUCCCUUGAAAAUGUGUGGAGCAUUAUGAAGCGUAAAAUAGGACAACGGAGACCCCGGACUGUUGAACGACUGAAGCUGAACAUCAAGAAUGGGAAAGAAUUCCACCUUCAAAGCUUCAACAGUUCGUCUCCUCAGUUCACAAAUGUUUACUGAGUUUGUUUAAAGGAAAGGGGAUGGAACACAGAGGUAAACAUGUCCCUGUACCAACUACUUUGUCAUGUGUUGCAGCCAUGAAACUCUGAGUUAAUUGUUAUUUGUAAAAAAAAGAAUAAAGUUUAUGAGUUUGAACAUUAAAUAUUUUGUCUUUGUAGUGUAUUCAACUGAAUAUGAGUUGAAAAGGAUUUGCAAAUCAUUGUAUUCUGUUUUUAUUUAAAUUUAUCACAAUUUCCCAUCUUCAGCGGAAUUGGGUUUUGUAUAUAUAAUCUGCAAUUAGAAUACUGAUGUUUUUGCAUUGUGUAAAAUCCCAAUAAACAGACUGUUAAUACAAAAAAAAUGUUAAAAAAGAGGAAAACUGCAGCAAACUGACCGCUGACCAAAAGAGAAAAGCUCUAUCAGGGCUGUUGUGCUCAUAUUAAAACUGAACAGGUGAUAAAGAAAUGCAGACAAUCACAUCCUUCACCUCCAUAUAAAAAGUCUCAAAUGAUCAUGGGUUAAUAUUUAACCCUCCUGUUGUUCCCUCUGUAGCUGCUUUAAACAAAGUCCUCUGACCGAGUUCGACAUGAUUUCACCUUCCAGGACGUCUGAACAUGAAUUGUCUUUUAACCAAAGUUUUUCCACUCUCAGCUCUGCACCGAUUCAGAGGUCUGAGGAAAAAAUAAGGAUUCAUGUAUUCAUGUUCUGGAAGCUAUAGUCUUUGUUCUGCGACUCAGUCACAUAACUACUUUUGCUAUCUGUCCCCAAAGUUCAUCUUGAAAUGGGUCAAAGAAGUUUUAGAGAUGCUGCUCCUGCAGACUGGAAUCUGCAACAAUAAAAUCUGUGUGUUGGACAGCUGGUCUUUUUAAAUCUUUUUAAAUGUAGAUUAGAGGCUCUAGAGGAAGAUGAAGCAGGCUGUAUUUGACUGAAAAUGUUCUUCUCCACAGACGGGUUCAUACUACAGACAGGCAAACCCAGACAAAAGACAGGUUUACAAUGCUGUCAGGUUUACACAAACUACUGACAGGGUUAUACCACAGACAGGUUUAUACUACAGACUGAUUUUACAGACUACAGAGGGGUUUACACUGACUAUAGAUGGGUUAAAAUAGACAACAGACUGAUUUUGGGAACUUCAAUAAAUUAGUCAACUAACAGGUCAUCAAAGAGUACAGACAGGUUUUUACAGACCACAGACGGAUUUGUAUAGACUUUGGGCAAAUUCAUACACUUGGGUCUCCAGGAGCUGCAGAAGAAAUCAAAGUUUUGAGAUGCCUUAAAAAGGGAAAACCGCAGCAAACUGACCCCUGACCAAAAGAGAAACCCUCUGUCAGGGCUGUUGAAAGACGUAAAGGGUUAUGAAUCAGAGUCAGAAUUGCUUUAUUGAUCCCAAGCUGGGAAAUUAUGGAUACAUAACCAUGGAAAUAUGUGCAGACAAUCAUAACCUUCACCUCAUAUAAAAAGUCUAAAGUGAUAAUGUGUUAAUAUUUAACCCUCCUGUUUGUUCCCUCUGCAGCUGCUUUAAACAAAGUCCUCUGACCGAGUUCGACAUGAUUUCACCUUCCAGGACGUCUGAACAUGAACUUUUAUCUUCAAACCCAACGUCUGUGCUACUCACCAAGUUUUUCCAUUCUCCGCUCUCCGCUCUGAAAAAAUAAGGAUUAUUCAACAUAAUCAUCAACACUAAAAGGGUUACAGCCUGAUGAGACCCAAAAUUCAUCCUGAAAUACAGAAAAUGAAUGUUUAUCAGAGUCUUCUGUGUCAAAGGAAAAACUCCGUUUUUAGAGGGUGGUCUCUGACAGAAAAGAAACUCCAAACAACUCCAGAGUGAACACAUGAACUUAAACACAGACAGGGUUAUACUACAGACAGGAUCAUACUACAGACAGUAGGGCUACACGAUACAUUGUUUGAUCAUCGUCAUGGCAAUGUAUGUGUGUGCGAUAGUCACGUCAGAGCCUGCGAUGUCAGAGGCGAAAGAACUCAUCUAAUUUUCAGGGUAGCUGACUGACAUACAUUGCAUGUGACUCUGCAGGUGCAGUGCAGCAAUCCACCAAUCACAUUCGUUCUUUACUCGGUUGCCAAUUAGACUACCCUGCCAGCCGUCAAUCAAAAUCAGAGAGGAGGAAACCACGCCCCUUCACAUGGAGUAAGUCGCUGGCGCUGCCGGUGUUGGUCCGAUAGACACAUGCCCACUAAGAAUUACUUUGGGAACAUUCUUCAUCACUGUUUAGCCCCACAAAUAAGAACUGUAUGGGUUUGAAAUUGGACAUUUCCAUGAACCACUCGACUAGAAGUGGUGUGCUUUUCAAAGCUCUUAAUGGUCUUGCACCAACAUAUUUAUCAGAUUUGCUUUCUUCAUACGAUCCCAUGAGAGCCCCCAGUCUUCAGGUAGUGGUCUUUUAUCUGUUCUUAAAGUAUGAACAAAGACUCACAGUGAGGCAACUUUUAAGUAUGAUGGCCCAUGUCUGUGGAUCAGCUGACCUGAAGACCUGUAGACAGCACGGAGUCUCCAUAUUUUUAAAAGUAAAUUUAAGACCCACCGUUUUAGUUUAGCUUUAAACUACCUGUUUAUCAUAAUGUUUUUUCAAAUUUAUUCUUACACCAUAUUCUAUAUAAUAUUAUAUUCAUAUAUUCUGUAAUCUUACACUGUUUUAAUGUUCUUCUCUUUUUACUCCUCUAUCUGAUAUUUUAAUAUUUUGUUAUACGUCCAAUGAUCCCUCAGUUUGCUCAGUUGUUUUAUCUAUUAAUUUAUUGAACUUAUUUAUUGAUUAAAGUUUGUUGUUUUUAUUCUGACCUUCCUUUUCUUUUUCUGUACAUCUCUUUGUGUUGCACCAUCAUUGUUUUAGAAGUCCUUCAUAGAUAAAGUUUGUCUUCUUGACACAGACUGGGGUGGGCUCAGUUUCAGUCUUCCAGUGAAUCAUGUGAGUGAUUCCAAACAGGGAGACUGAAAGUGAAAUUAUGGAAACUCUAUAAAAACUCACCAGCCCGCUGAUCUGCAGAGUCACUCUGAGCAGAGAUACAGCAGCAGGUAAGAGCUACUUUAACCUGUUGCGACCUCUUUUUACAGUCACUAUAUCAUUUAUAGAUUAUCACUGAAACACCAACUCUGUCCUCCAGCUCCAUUUUAAUCUGUAGAAACUGGAUUGGAGCAUUUUAUUGAGUUGCAUGCUGUCUCAUCAUGUUUGGAGGGUUUUACUUCAGAAUAAGGAGAUUAUUGUAAUGAUGAUCACUUUGUUCCUCAUAGGUUGAUGUAAAGGAGAAAUAUUGAACUCUUUAUAUCAGCUGAUUACCUCUCAGAUUUAUCAUUAAUGGUUCAGCCUUAAACAGAUCAAUAAUGUCUGAAUAUCUGCAGACCGUGAGCUUCUACAAAGGUUUUAUUUUAGAGACUGGUCAAACAGCUGAGGUCAUGUUUUAAUAUGUGAACAUGUUCUCUGCAGACAUGGGCAACAACAGAUCCAGACCAUCACCUCGACCUGCUCCACCUCCUCCACCUCCUCCACCUCCUCCACGUUCUCCAACUCCUCCACCUUCCCGUAAGAGGCUGAAUUCUUACUGACAUGAUCUCAGAUCUGAGGAUCAGGAUCUUUAAUCAGUAACCAUGUUUUUCAGUUUUACUCACUAUUGUUCAUUUUUGUCCUUCAGCCUGUCUGAGUCAACCGUGGAGACAACUGACAGAGUGAGGACACACACACACACACACACACAAACACACACAUAUACACAUAGACACACACAUACACACGCACACAUACACAUAUACACACACUAAUAUAUAUAUAUAUAUAUAUAUAUACACUCACCGGCCACUUUAUUAGGUACACCAUGCUAGUAACGGGUUGGACCCCCUUUUGCCUUCAGAACUGCCUCAAUUCUUCGUGGCAUAGAUUCAACAAGGUGCUGGAAGCAUUCCUCAGAGAGCUUGGUCCAUAUUGACAUGAUGGCAUCACACAGUUGCCGCAGAUUUGUCGGCUGCACAUCCAUGAUGCGAAUCUCCCGUUCCACCACAUCCCAAAGAUGCUCUAUUGGAUUGAGAUCUGGUGACUGUGGAGGCCAUUUGAGUACAGUGAACUCAUUGUCAUGUUCAAGAAACCAGUCUGAGAUGAUUCCAGCUUUAUGACAUGGCGCAUUAUCCUGCUGAAAGUAGCCAUCAGAAGUUGGGUACAUUGUGGUCAUAAAGGGAUGGACAUGGUCAGCAACAAUACUCAGGUAGGCUGUGGCGUUGCAACGAUGCUCAAUUGGUACCAAGGGGCCCAAAGAGUGCCAAGAAAAUAUUCCCCACACCAUGACACCACCACCACCAGCCUGAACCGUUGAUACAAGGCAGGAUGGAUCCAUGCUUUCAUGUUGUUGACGCCAAAUUCUGACCCUACCAUCCGAAUGUCGCAGCAGAAAUCGAGACUCAUCAGACCAGGCAACGUUUUUCCAAUCUUCUAUUGUCCAAUUUCGAUGAGCUUGUGCAAAUUGUAGCCUCAGUUUCCUGUUCUUAGCUGAAAGGAGUGGCACGCGGUGUGGUCUUCUGCUGCUGCAGCCCAUCUGCCUCAAAGUUCGACGUACUGUGCGUUCAAAGAUGCUCUUCUGCCUACCUUGGUUGUAACGGGUGGUUAUUUGAGACACUGUUGCCUUUCUAUCAGCUCGAACCAGUCUGGCCAUUCUCCUCUGACCUCUGGCAUCAACAAGGCAUUUCCGCCCACAGAACUGCCGCUCACUGGAUAUUUUUUCUUUUUCGGACCAUUCUCUGUAAACCCUAGAGAUGGUUGUGCGUGAAAAUCCCAGUAGAUCAGCAGUUUCUGAAAUACUCAGACCAGCCCUUCUGGCACCAACAACCAUGCCACGUUCAAAGUCACUCAAAUCACCUUUCUUCCCCAUACUGAUGCUCGGUUUGAACUGCAGGAGAUUGUCUUGACCAUGUCUACAUGCCUAAAUGCACUAAGUUGCCGCCAUGUGAUUGGCUGAUUAGAAAUUAAGUGUUAACGAGCAGUUGGACAGGUGUACCUAAUAAAGUGGCCGGUGAGUAUAUAUAUAUAUAUAUAUAUAUAUAGUUUCAACAGAGCUUAUCACACCUUUCUUUCUUUCUUUUUUCUUUCCUUCUUUUAUCCUUUUAUUUUAUUAGUUUUAAUAUAUUAUAUGAUCUUGUUUUAAAUUAUUUAAAAUAAUUUUAUCUUUUUUCAAUCUUAUGUUAUCAUAAAUUAUCUUGUUUUAUCUUAUCUUAUAUUUCAUCACUUCUAUCUUUUUAUUUUAUUUUGUUUUAUCUUGCUUCAACUGUUUAUCUUGUAUAAUCUGUUAAUCUUGUUUUAUCUUGAAAUUUUCUUAAUUUUCAUUUUUUAAAAUGAUUUUAUCAUUUCAUUUUUUAUUUUGUCUUAUAUUUUUAUUUUAUCUUGUCUUAUCCUGUUUUUAAUGUGUUUUAUGUUUUUAAUUUUAAAUUUUUAUUUAAUCUUAUUUAUCUUGUCUUAUUUUUUAUUAUAAUCUAACUUUUUAUAUUUAUUUUGUUUUAUCUUGCUUAAACCUUUUAUCUUGUUGAUCCUUUUUUAUCUUGUUUCAUCUUUUUAAAUGUUCUUAUUUACAUUUUUCAAAAUAUUUUUAUCUUUUUAUUUUAUCAUUUUAUUUUUUAUUUUGUCUUAUCUUUUUAUUUUAUCUUGUUUUAUCCUGUUUUUAAUUUGUUUUAUAUUUGAAUUUUUAUUUAAUCUUAUUUCACAGUUUUAUUUAUUCUUGUUUUAUCUUUUUAAAUUUUACCUUAUUUAAAAAUAUUUUUAUGCUUUUAUUUUAUUUUAUCCUGUUUUUAAUUUGUGUUGUUUUUUUAAUUUUUAUUUUAUUUAAUCAGAUUUCACACUUUUAUUGAAUCUUAUUUUAUCCUUUUAAAUUUUACCUUUUUUAAAAAUAAUUUUAUCUUUUUAUUGAUCUUUUUUUGUCUAUUUUAUCUGGUUUUAUCUUGUUGUAUUUUGUUGUAGUUUGUUAUGGUCAGGGCUCUUUUGUUUAAUACUAAACAGAUGAGAUAAAAUAAUCUGAUGUCUCGGCUUCGUCAGGAGCUCCGAGGACAUCAUUAGCUACCUGGGAGCCUACCACCCUCAAAAUGCACAAGUCAGUCACUUGAGGGUUCUGCUGCACGGCCCGGUCGGUGCAGGAAAGUCCAGUUUCAUCAACUCAGUGGACAGCGCUCUCAGAGGUCGCAUUUGCGGUCGAGCUGCAACUGAUGCAACUUCAGGGAAAAGCUACACCCUGGAGGUAGGACGGUCUAGAGCCUGAGAGAACGUCUGAUUGUGGUCCUUCAGAAACUUCUGAGACAGUUAUACGUGACUCAACAAAUCUACAAAAUGACAGAGACAAACAUAAAAUAUCCACAAAUUAAUGAAAAACUCAAAUGAACAAACUCUUUAGAAAUUAACUCUCUCCCUGAAAAUGUGGGUCAUUUUCAGCAGGUUGGUUUUCAGAGGAGAGAAAAUAAAUCAGACUGAAUCUCCUUUUUAAGAAAAUGAAAAAACUUUUAAAUUGACACUUUUAUUUGUUUAACUGAUGCAUUUACUGUCUCCUUCUUUCAGUAUAAAACCUACAAGAUAAAAAAAACGGCGCAGAGCUUUUAUUCUGUGGUUUUUAAUGACAUCAUGGGUCUGGAGGACAGCCUGGACAACGGCGUCCAAGUGGACGACGUCAAAAUGGCGAUGAAAGGACACGUGAGGGAAAAGCACAAGGUACGCACUGAAGGACUUUGUUGACCUGAAGGUCCUGUAGAGUCUAAUCUGUCCAAGCAAAGAGGUUAAAUCCACAGUCACUGAUCGAACCAGAACCAAGUCUGUGAGGACAUGAUACUGGACCAGUGUACAACAGCGCCAUCUUCCUGUUUUAAGGUGUAUUACUACUUCCUGUGGCUGAGGGGAGUUUGCGAAUGACUCUGUGUGUGUGUGUGUGUGUGUGUGUGUGUGUGUGUGUGUGUGUGUGUGUAACCCUCUCACUCCAGAGGACGUCCGCUCGCUUAGAUUUCUCCGCUCCUUUAUGAUAAUAAAAUUAAUACAUUUUAUUUAAAUAAACUGUUUUUUGUCAUUAUCUCCAUGUAGAUUCUCAUUCAUCAAGGUCAUGGUUAUCUUGAAGACUUAAAAACAGGCAACUGGACUGUGAAGACUUGAGAAGACGUUUCGCCUCUUAUCCAAGAAGCUUCUAGUAUGAGGAGCAGAUAUUUAUCUUACUGGAGAAGGGGACAGACAACGACUGGGAGGGGUUGGGACGUAGAAACCCAUCUCUGGGUGUGUGUGUGUGUGUGUGUGUGUGUGUGUGUGUCCAAGUCGUUAACCUGAAUAGAAUAUUCCUUUAUUGAUCCCCCAUGGGGGAAAUUGUUUUGUCACAGCAGCAUCACAGACCAAGAGUGCAAAAAUGCAGUUAUAGAAAUACAGAUCCUAAUAUUAAGAAAUUAAAUAAAUGUAAUAAUUAAGAAAAAAUUUAGAGAAAGGAAAAAGGGAGAAGAAAAAUAAAACUAUCUACAAUAUACACAAUUUAAAUGCCAGCAAACAGUGGUGGUGUGAGUCCAGUUUUAUUACAGUUCGUUGUAAAGUUUUAUUGCAGAGGGGAGGAACUACCUGCGGUAGCGCUCCGUCCUGCAAGGUGGAAGUCUCAGUCUGCUGCUGAAGGAGCUGCUUAAGGCUCCCACAGUCUGGUGCAGUGGGUGAGAGGGAUUGUCCAUGAUGGAUACAAGCUUUGUUAACAUCCUCCUCUCACCCACCUCCUCCAGGGAGUCCAAAGAACAGUCCAGGACAGAACCGGCCCUCCUGACCAGUCUAUUCAGUCUCUUCCUGUCCCUCUCAGUGCUCCCUGCCCCCCAGCAGACCACCACAUAGAAAAGUGCAGAUGCUACCACAGAGUCAUAGAAGGUCCUGAGCAGAGUCCUGCACACUCCAAAGGACCUCAGUCUCCUCAGCAGGUGGAGACGACUUUGGCCCUUCUUGUACAGAACGUCUGUGUUGGUUGACCAGUCCAGUUUAUUGUUGAGGUGGACACCCAGGAAUCUGUAGGACUCCACCAUCUCAAUGUCCAGACCCUGAAUGUUCACUGGAACAGUCUGAGGUGUCCUCCUCCUGCGGAAAUCCACAACCAUCUCCUUUGUCUUACUGGCGUUGAGCUGGAGGUGGUUUGUGCCACACCAGUUGACAAAGUCACUGAUGACAGUCCUGUAUUCCCGCUCAUCCCCUGACGAUACACAUCUGACGAUGGCUGUGUCAUCAGAGAACUUCUGGAGGUGACAGCUCCCAGAGUUGUAGCUGAAGUCUGAGGUGCACAGGGUGAAAAGGGGAAGGGGGAGAGCACUGUCCCCUGUGGAGCCCCCAUGCUGCAGACCACCAUGUCCGAUACACAGUUCUGAAGCCUCACAAACUGUGGUCUGUCGGUGAGGUAGUCCACGGUCCAUGCGGCUAGGUGACAGUCCACUCCCGCCCUCUCGAGCUUCCCCCUGAGCAGUGAAGGCUGGAUGGUGUUGAAAGCACUGGAGAAGUCAAAAAACAUGACCCUCACAGUGCUGCCGGUAUUCUCCAAGUGGGCCACAGACCUCUGCAGCAGGUAGAUGACUGCGUCAUCCACCCCGAUGUUCAGCUGGUAUGCAAACUGCGGAGGAUCUAGAUGAGAGCUCACCAGGGGGCGGAGGUUCCUCAGCACGAUCCUCUCCAGAGUCUUCAUCAGGUGAGAAGUGAGGGCCACAGGUCUGAAGUGGUUGGGCUCCCUGGGGUCUUGGGGACAGAAAUCACGCAGGAAGUCUUCCACAGUGCUGUGACCCUCUCCAGACUCAGGCUCAAGCUGAAGAUGUGCAGUAGCACCUCACAGAGCUGGUCUGCACAGUCCUCCAGGAGUCCUGAGCUGAUGCCAUCAGGGCCUGUGGCUUUCCUUGGCUUCAUCUUCCUCAGCUCACUUCUCACCUGGUCAGCUGUCAGCUGUUGAAAGGGUCGUUAACGACCCCUGUCAUGUGACCACAUGACUCAUGCCACCUGGGUCAUGUGGUCCCAGGUGUGAAUGUUUGUGGAGCUUCCUGGGAAGAGAGCUGAGAACUGCAUUGUAAGUGCCAGAAAAGUUGUACCUGAGUCCACCCCCUCUGUUCAGAGAAGGUUUCUCCAGCCUUGUAAAGAUGGCUUCUUUAACUCCUCUUUCAAACCAUCUGUCCUCUCGAGCCAACACCUGUACCUUGCUGUCCUCGAAAGAGUGACCUGCGUCCUUCAAGUGAAGGUGGACAGCUGAGUCCUGACCUGAGGAAGUGGCUCUCCUGUGUUGAGCCAUGCGCUUGUGAAGCGGUUGUUUGGUUUCCCCAAUGUACAGGUCCGAGCAUUCCUCGCUGCACUGGACGGCAUACACCACAUUACUCUGUUUAUGUCUCGGUGUUUUGUCCUUGGGAUGGACUAGCUUCUGCCUUAGUGUGUUACCAGGCUUGAAAUGAACAGGAAUGUGGUGUUUGCCAAAGAUCCUCUUGAGUUUCUCAGACAGGCCUGCAACGUAAGGGAUUACAGUGCUCUUGCGUCUCUCCUCCCUUUCCUGUUCAGUGUUAUUUCUCUUUCUGUUCUUCACAAAGGCCCACUUAGGGUAUCCACAGGUUGUCAGGGCAUUUUUGAUGUGCUUCUGUUCCUUUUCCUUACCUUCUUUCUUCAUGGGAAUGUUGUCACUGUACAUUGGGGAAACUAAACAACCGCUUCACAAACGCAUGGCUCAACACAGGAGAGCCACUUCCUCAGGUCAGGACUCAGCUGUCCACCUUCACUUAAAGGACACGGGUCACUCUUUCGAGGACAACAAGGUACAGGUGUUGGCUCGAGAAGACAGAUGGUUUGAAAGAGGAGUUAAAGAAGCCAUCUUUACCAGGCUGGAGAAACCUUCUCUGAACAGAAGGGGUGGACUCAGGCACAAUCUCUCCAGCACUUACAAUGCAGUUCUCAGCUCUGUCCCCAGGAAGCUCCACAAACACUCACACCUGGAACCACAUGACCCAGGUGGCAUGAGUCAUAUGGUCACAGGACAGGGGUCGUUAACGACCCUUUCAGGUUAACGACUUGGGGGCGGGGGAGGGCACACACCCAGAGAUGGGUUUCUACAACCCAUUCUUUCCAACUCUUCUCAGUCAUUGUCUGUCCCCUUCUCCAGUAAGAUAAAUAUCUGCUCCUCACACUAGAAGCUUCUUGGAUAAGAGGCGAAACGUCUUCUCAACUCUACACAGUCCAGUUGCCUAUUUUUAAGUCUUCAAGAUAAUUUUGUCUUUAUCUCAUUUUUUUCUAGUGUAAUCCUCAAAACCCGCUCUCAGAGCGUGAUCAUGGCUACAACCCAGACCCCACCCUGGAUGACAAAGUCCACGUCCUGGUCUGCGUGGUUCCUGUGGGCACCGUGUCUCUGCUGAGUGAUGGGGUGGUGCAGAAGUUAAGACAGGUCAGACUGGCAGCCAGGGACCAGGGUAAGUUCCCGCUCUGUGGACUCUAAGUCACCAGAGUCCUGCUGUCUGAGGUCUGAACCCCUCUGUGUGUCUGCAGGAAUCCCCCAGUUCGCCGUCCUCACCAAAGUGGACCAAGCCUGUCCAGAGGUGAAGAGAGACAUCAGCAACCUUCACAAGAGCAAAUACCUGAAGAAGCAGGUGAGUCUGAGUCCCUUAGAUUGUCCAAAGACCUUUAGUCAGAGUCCAGUAACCAGACCGCCUCUGUGACCUGAAGGUGGAGCAGUUCAGCGUCCUCCUGGGGAUCCCUGUCAACUGCAUCUUCCUGGUGAAGAACUACGAGUCCGAGUGCUCCACGUCUGAUGAGGUGAGCAGACCCAUCCUGACCGCCCUGAAACAGAUGGUAGACUACGGAGAGGACUACCUGGACGACAUGUAGACCCUUCGCUCUGCUGAGACCCCCUCACACUCCAUGGUACUGUCCUCUGGUUUCAGCCGUGUCAUGCAUGCGUUGAGAGAUCAUUGGUGUUUGAAAGUGUUCAGACUCUGGAAACUUCUGUCUGUUCAUUUAGACUUUGAAUAAGAAACUGU